rnacentral:lncRNA from 1 species
CCAUAUAUACAUGCUUGUUAGACUAUGAACCACACAUUUACUUUUUACUGCUUAUGAGCAUUGAGUGUGGUCAAGCUGUGUAGACCCUUAGGAGCUUGUCAUGUGGUUAAAUCAAGAUUCACUUGCACGUUCACUCACACAUACAACUUCUACUCUGGAAGUAUGCAUCCACAUAUAUCCAUCUAUUUCCAUCUCUAGAACCACCCAAAAAUAUUAUACUCCUAAUCCGGGAGAGAAUAGCCAAAAACAUUCUCCUAUUCCUGUUUUUCCCUGUGAAAUAAAUGCUCAAGAUAUUUUGGUUACUACCACUUGCUACACUAGUCUAGGAGGAUGAGUGCUCUGAAAAAAAAGUGAAUACGAGGAAAUAAAAAGGGGCAAGUGCCCGGAACCUCGAAAGAAAAGAAAAAAAAGUGAGACGAGAGGUAAAAAUGGACAAGUGUCCGACAGUAGAAUUAGGGGUACAAGAUACCCACCUGAGAGGAAAGAAAAAGAAAAUACAGAGCAUCUCAUUCUCCCCAAAAGUUUCAAAAGAGCAAGGAAGGUAUGUAUCCCCUCAAAAGAGCAAAAGUAGAAUUAGACUUUCACCAUUGUUAUCACCAUCAUUACCAUGCAUCAUUCAUUCGCCACACAUGCACAUCUUGAUUUGACUUAUUGACUUGUUUCUCUGGAUCCAUGGUUUGACUAUGCAAUAAAUGUCUUGUAAGUAUGUAUUAGCUAUCUCCCACCUAUGAGCUCCAGAUAUCAAAAGCCUUAUUAGAGUAGGGUGACUGAGAAGGCAAUGCCACUAUGCCUUAUACCACAAAUACCACAUACUUUGAGAGAAGGCAUAUACCAAUACUGCCUUGGUAAGGAUCCAGAAAUACUACAAAAGAGAGACUAGAGAGAGUCAUACAAGGAAUCUCUAAGUUUUAUUUGAAAAUCUGCAAAAUUUCCAGAGCUAUAGUUAAUCGAAGAACAAGAGACAUGGUGCUUGACUAGACCGUUCUAUCUUUUAACUGCUCAAGACACAAGUGACGGUUACAAGCCCCAUGGUGGAAGGUAAAAUGAGUAAGUUUAAAUCUUAACAGUUUACCCUAACCCAGAGAUGAGGUCUUGUUUAAACGCAUGUGUAUCUUUAAGUUAUGAAACCACUACAGAAACUCUUGAGUUCAUCUUUGCUCAGGGACGAGCAAAGGUUAAGCUUGGGUGAGCUUGUUGACGGUCCUUAAUACUCACAUUUAACCAUCAAUUAAUCAUAGAAAAGGAUCCAAAUGCAACCAACACCUAGACUUAGGGUUUUAUCUGACAGAAUUCCACGAGUUUUGGUGUUUGUCUAUUUCUGCAGGGGGUUAUCAGGAAAUACGGAAGAAAGGCCCACACGUCGGGUUUACAUAAAGAUAUUAACGUGCCGCGCAAUUUUCUACCAUCUAGAAGACUCCAGAAGCCACGAGAACAAACGGGAAGGAAAUCGGGCUCGGAGGCAGGGCGCCCGCCCAACUCUCCUGGGCGCCCGCCCAGCUACAGUGCCCAAUCAGGACACGUUUCGCGGAUUAUGCUCCACCAACGUAAAGGAUCAAGGAAAACCGUGCGAUCAAUGUCGGUUUGAUCCGACGACCCAGAUUCACUUGAAGGGACUAUAAAACCAGACCCCCUGGCCCCUGGAGAUCAUACCUCUUCUAUAGAAUCAAAGCUAGGGUUUCAAUUCUUCAUCCAAGUAGAGAGGAUCCCUCUAGUUCUUCUAGUUCUAUCUCUAGUUCAUCUAGAUCUAGUUCUAGUUCAUCUAGUUCUAGUUCUAGUUCCUCUAGUUCUAGUUCUAGUUAGUUCUAGUUGUAAUCUAGAAAAUAGGGAGAGAGAAGAGGAGAGCGGAGGAGGAGCCGGAUCUGUCGGAUCUUCCUCAACAUUGUACUUUUGCAGCAUCUGGUUCGUUCUUCAUCGUUCUCCAGGUUCUUCAACUCAUAACUCCUGAGUUCUUUUAUUACUUUUAUUUACAUUCAAGUUAUUUAUUGGAUUCCCGCUUGCAUCAAGUGCUCUAAUCUUUGAAACAUUAGAGUAGUAAUUAAUAGAUUAGACGUGGUGUUUAGUCUUGCAAUUACCUGGAAUUGCACCCAAUCCUGCGGAUUGUUGUGGUAGCCUUAGGGUAGUGAUAGCCCUAACGGUCGACGUAUUCCACCACGUUCGGAUCGGUGUUUGUAGGACCGUAGUCGGAGCUUCCUAGCCCCCUUCUCAUCUCUUUCUGUGGUUAGUGUUCUGAUGUCCCGAUAUAGAUAAUCUUGAAGUAAUUCUUGAUUCUUAGAUCAACUAGAGAACUCUCAGGAAACUUCCUCUCUUCCCACCAAAAAUAAUUAUAUAGUUAUCCUUGGGCGAUCUUGGAUCUUAAUUAGUACACUCACGUUCCCUGUGGAAAAUCGAUACUCUGGAAUACUCCCGGGUGAAGGCUACAUCGGUAUCCGUGCGCUUGCGGAUUUUUCUGUUUGCGUUUAAAAUACCCAACAGUUAUGUAGACCCUUAGGAACUUGUCAUGCGGUUAAAAUCAAGAUUCACUUGCACGUUCACUCAUACAUGGUACUUCUACUCUGGAAGUACGCAUCCACAUACAUCCACUCAUUUCCAUCUUCAGAUUCACCUAAAAUGAUUCUAUUCCUAAUCUAGAAGAGAAUAGCCAAAAACAUUCUCCUAUUUCUCUUUUCCCCGUGAAAUAAACGCUCGAGAUAUUUUGAUUACUACCACUUGCUACAUUAUUCUAGGAGGGUGAGUGCUCUGAAAGAAAAAAAAGAAAAAAAAUAAAUACGAGGAAAUAAAAAGGGGCAAGUGCCCGGAACCUCGAAGAAAAGAAAAAGUGAGACGAGAGGUAAAAAUGGACAAGUGUCCGACAGUAGAAUUAGGGUUACAAGAUACCCACCUGAGAGAAAAGAAAAAGAAAAUAUAGAGCAAUUCAUUCCCCUCAAAAAGCUUCAAGUGCAAGAAAGGUAUGUAUCUCCUCAAAAGAGCAAAAGUAGAAUUAGACUUUCACCAUUGUUAUCACCAUACACCAUUCACUCGCCACACAUGCACAUCUUGAUUUAACUUAUUGACUUGUUUCUCUGGAUCCAUGGUUUGACUAUGCAAUAAAUGUCUUAUAAGUAUGUAUUAUCUAUCUCCCACCUAUAAGCUCCAGAUAUUAAAACCUUAUUAGAGUAGGGUGAGAGAGAAGGCGAUAUCACUAUGCCUCAUACCAAAAAUACCACAUACCUUGAGAGAAGGCAUAUACUAUUACUGCCUUGGAAAGGAUCCAGAAAUACCACAAAAGAGAGAUUUGAGAGAGUCAUACAAGGAAUCUUUGAGUUUUAUUUGAAAAUCUGCAAAAACUCCAGAACUAUAGCUGAUCAAGAAUACGAGACAUGGCACUUGACUUGACCGUUCUAUCUUUUAACUGCUCAAGACACAAGAGACAGUUGCAAGCCCCAUGGUGAAAGGUAAAAUGAGUAAGUUUUAAGUCUUAACAGUUUACCCUAACCUAGAGACGAGAUCUUGUCUGAACGCAUGUGUACCUUUAAGGCAUGAAACCACUGGAAAAAAUCUUGAGUCCAUCCUUGCUCCGGGACGAGCAAUAGGUAAGCUUGGGGGAGUUGUUGACGGUCCUUAAGUACCAAAUAUAAUUAUCAAAUCAAUAAAGAAAAGGAUCCAAAUACAACCAACACCCAAACUUAGGGUUUUAUCUGACAGAAUUCCACGAGUUUUGGUGUUUGUCUAUUUCUGAAGGGGGUUAUCAGGAAAUAUGGAAGAAAGGCCCACACGUCGGGUUUACAUAGAGAUAUUAACGUGCCGCGCAAUUUUCUAUCAUCUAGAAGACUCCAGAAGGAACGGGAACGAAUAGGAAGGCGAUCGGGCCCGGGGGCAGGGCGCCCUCCCUCCCCCCUAGGGCGCCCAGCCUGUCCCAGAGUCCAAUCAGGACUCGUCUCGCGGAUUACGCUCCACCGACCUAAAGGAUCAAGGAUAACCGUUCACUUGAGGGGACUAUAUAAGCAGACCCCCUGUCCCUUAGAGGAGAACAAGUUCAUUGUAGAGUUGAGAGGUUCCCUCGAAGGAUAACCUUUCCUCUACAUAGACAGAGCAAAAGCUAGGGUUUGGAGAUGAGAGCUCUCCUCUCAUCUCUAAACUAGAGUAGAUCUAGAUAGUAGCGAGAUGGAGAGCGAGGGAGGAUUGGAGGAGAGGCCGGCCUGUCGGUUCUUCCUCCAGUUGUACUUCACCAUGAUCAAGUUCUAAUCGAGCUUGCUCAUGGGAUGACUCUAGUAAUCUACUUCUAUUUCAUUAUGCAAUUACUAUUCAUGUAUGUUCUGGUUCACAACUCUUUUGAGUACUUUUAAUCUAUAGGACCCUAUAGGUUAGAGUUGUAGUAUAGUUGUAAGCGUGCUGCUUAGACCUAGAAUACUUGUGGAUAUCCCCUGUCUAGCUGGAUCGUGUGGUAGGCCGCGUAGGUGACAGUUAUGUUGGUCCCCUGUAGUCCACCUCAUGUUAGCAGGACGGGUAGGGUUUAUCGGCCUAUGGAUAAGCAUCCUUUGUGGUGUAUUCUUAUCACGUGGUUCGUCUCAGACAUAGACAUACCCCUUUGAAGUAGAGAAACCAUAGUUAUCCUCUUUAUUCUCCUACCAUCGCCCAUAUACUAGAUUGCUCUACUCUCUAUUCCCAUAUUAUCACCCAUUGUUAUUUUACCUUUAAUAUUGUUCUUAUUCAAUUCUACCAUCUUUCCUAUUUACACUUACCCAUCUAUCUAGGUUAAGUUAGAGCGUAGAUCAGUUCUCCCGUUUCCCUGUGGAUACGAUAAAACCUUUAACCGGGUAAAAGCUACAACGGUAUCCGUGCGCUUCUGGAUUUAUCUGUGUGCGUAUAAAUACCAUAGUACACUCUAGUGCCAUGCUGGGGAUGACAACCUAGUAUUCAAGUGGGGUUAGCAAGUGUCAACACGUACCUAGUAGGUAGGUUGAAGUGGAUAUGUCCAGAACUGAUGUAGGUGUUGGCGUUGGCUGUGUAGAGGAACGGUCUUCCCAAGUGGAUCGGGGACUCAUUGUCUCCCUACAUGUCAAGAACUAGAAAAUCUACAGGUAUAUAUUGUCCUUGAAUUCUUAUUACAACAUUCUUGACCACACCUUUAGGGAACCUUAGUCAUUGGUCCGCCAUCUACAGCUGAAUACAUGUUGGGUAUAAAGGUAAAUCAAAUAACUCAUCGUAUACCUGUUUUGACAUUUGUUGACGGUCCUUAAGUACCAAAUAUAAACAUCAAAUAAAUAAAGAAAAGGAUCCAAAUGCAACCAACACCCAGACUUAGGGUUUUAUCUGAUAGAAUUCCACGAGUUUUGGUGUUUGUCUAUUUCGGUAGGGGUUACCAGGAAAUAUGGAGGAAAGGCCCACAUGUAGGGUUUACAUAGAGAUAUUAACGUGCCGCGCAAUUUUCCUCAACCUAGAAGAGUCGAGAAGCCACGGGAAUGAACGGGAGUCCGAGCGGGCCCGGGGGCAGGGCGCGCGGCCUCCCCCCUAGGGCGCCCGCCCUGCUACAGGGACCAAUCAGGUCCCGCCUCGCGGAUUAUGCUCCACCGACCUAAAGGAUUAAGGAAAACCGUGCGAUUAAGGUCGGUUUGAUCCGAUGGCCCACGUUCAUUUUGAGGGGCUAUAUAAGCAAUCCCCCUGGCCCUUGGAGGAGGACAAUCCCAUUAUUCAUUAGCAUAUUUUCCAGAGAGGAUUCAGAGAGAGAGGUCCCUCUAGGGUUCCAACCUCAUAGGGCUUAGCAUCCAAUGUGAGAUUAGAAUUAGUUCUUCUAGAUUGAGAGAGAUAGAGUGGAGGUGUAGAUCGGAGGAAGCCCGACCUGUCGGUGUCUACUCCGAGGUUGUACCUGCGGGAUCAAGGUCUCCUAACCCGAGGCUUGCUCCUAAGAUUCUUCAGUAUUUUGACUUCUAAAUUCUAGUAAGUUCUUUGUUCUUAUUGUUGUUUGGUUUAUGAGUUUACUUUAAUCUCUUCCGGUAGAGUUUAGAGUAAUCAUUGCUAGCGUAAACGUGGUGUUUGGGCUAGGGUACUCAUAGAUAUCCCCUGUCUAGCCGGGCCGUGGUAGUAGCGAGGAACGUGACAUUUAUGUAGCCACCUUUGUAGCCCACAAUCCCGUUAGCAGGAUCGGUAGGGUUUAUUGGUGCGGGUCGAACAUCCUUUGUGGUGUCUAGAUUCUGUAAGCCUCCCCAAUAGAACAGUAGAUCAUCCUUACCAAGGUUAGAACGAGAGUGCGGUUGUAGUCUUCUCUAUACAUCGCUCACAUCAAAUCACAUUGUUUGUAGCCUAAAGGGUAGUAGCAAUAGAUUUGGUUAGUCAGAUGCACACUUUCUACUAGUGGUAAAAAUAUAAAUAUGAUACUCUGGAUAACCUCCCGGGUGAAGUGCUCACCGAUAUCCGUGCGCUUGCGGAUCAUUUCCUGAUGGCGUUAACAAAUAUCAACAAGCAUUUCUGGCACCGUUGCCGGGGAGAAAGACGGUUUGCUGAGAUAACUUUGAGUCUUGCUAUUAUCUUGUAUUAUACUUUUAUUCUUUUAUCUUCUUAUUUUUUCCAUCCUUAUGGAUAACUCAAAUUCCACACCUAUUAUUGAAUUUUUUACACCUUUGGAGACCAGCCAUAGACCAUGGGAGUCAACAAGUCCUUUCUUUGCCCCUAAUUAUGAUCUGUGUCCGGAGUUGAUUGCAAUAGGUCAAAACUAACCCUUUUCUAUAGUCGAGGUCCUAUCUUUUAAUCAAGAAGAUAAUGAACUUUUAGCUACACCUAGGGAAUCUUUUAAUCUUUCUAUAAAUUCUGGUUUAGACCUAGCCCUACAAGACCAUGUUUUUCCUCGAUAUUUUCACAUUGGUCUUAAUCAUAUAACCUUUGGUAGAGUUUUUCUUUCUUUAUCUGUUAGUAAAGCAAGGUAUGUCUUCAUUCGUGGACAUCCUUCUUGCACUAGUCUUCAUAAAAAAUCCUAGAGAUAGAGAAGGAAUCAUCUCCCAGACGAGGAAAGGAAGUUUUAAUAGCUGAUUUCCAAACAUUUCAGAUAAUGAACUUUUAGCUACACCUAGGGAAUCUUUUAAUCUUUCUAUAAAUUCUGGUUUAGACCUAGCCCUACAAGACCAUGUUUUUCCUCGAUAUUUUCACAUUGGUCUUAAUCAUAUAACCUUUGGUAGAGUUUUUCUUUCUUUAUCUGUUAGUAAAGCAAGGUAUGUCUUCAUUCGUGGACAUCCUUCUUGCACUAGUCUUCAUAAAAAAUCCUAGAGAUAGAGAAGGAAUCAUCUCCCAGACGAGGAAAGGAAGUUUUAAUAGCUGAUUUCCAAACAUUUCAAUCCCAUGAUUCGGCUAUCCAACCCAAACUAGUAGUGCUCCAAAAUUAUCUAAGGGAAGAAGAAAUUCUACCUUUGGAAAUUCAUUUUGGGAUGAGCUUAAACUUCCUGCUUCAUAAGAGACCUUUGAGUGCAUAUAGUCUGAACCUUCCUAAGAAGGGAUCUCUUAGAAAGCAUCUCAAAUCCAAUCCCUUUGGUGGACAUCUAGAAAGACUCAAGGAUGGCAUCUUAAGUGAUGCAAUAGAAGGAGAGCGAAGCCAUUUAGAAGACAAUCUCAUCUUCUCCCCUUCUACGCCGACUUUUGAUGACUCAUUUGAACCUAUCUUUAAACCCAUCCUUGAGCCUAAUAAUUUCUACUAUGCUCUUUCUCUUGAACCUCCUGAUGAUCCUAUGAAUCUCUCUAGACAUCUCAUGCAUAAGAGUCACCAAGACCACAAGGAUGAUCGACAAGAGCAACAUCAAUGGCUAGAGGGCAUUAAAAAUCCAUGUGCUAUCACCAUUGAAUGGAUGGAUAAAACAAACUUGAGAGACAAUCCUAGAGGAAUUUAAAGCAUUCAUGAAGAAUCAUCCUUGCAGUUUGAGAAUGAGAGAAACAACAGUGAGCAUGGAAGUUAUUUCAUAAAUACCUCACCAAGUCCUUGCUCAUAUAAAACAUCUCCCCAAUCAAUUGGUCUCUCCAACCUUACCACAUUUGAGAUCUCCAACCCCCUCUUCCUUUCUAUUUAUAAAAACUUUAAAGGGGUGGUUAUCGAUGCAUAUGUCUAUAAUAAAUAUUGCAGAUAUCGUUGAGUCGAUCUUGAUAUAGGCACGCUUAGGUUGGUGUUGGAGGGGAAACCACUUCACCAACGUAAUUUGAUGGUUUCCCAAGGACAAGCUUAGUGUCCUAAAACAAGCACUUAUCAGAUCAUAACAUGAACUUUUAAUUAUUUGCAACAUUGCCUUGUGUAUUGAGCAUACAAAGAUAAUUGUAGAAAUAUUCCUUCGAGUAUUCGUGUCACUAACCUUUCUAGGAUUGGAGCAAGAAGAUCUGAGGAAUGACAAGCGCAAGGUAUCCCCAACCAAUCAUCAUGCAACAUUGAAUUAAAUUCAUCCAAUCUUGAAUUUUGCAAAAUUCAAGCUUGGGGGAAAUACCUUACAUAAGAACAUCCUUUGCCAUGUUGCUAUGUUGGUUGUCCCUACUUUUGAGGCAUGCUCAAUUUUUUCUAAACACUAAACUUAUUUUUCAUCUCCACCUGAGUAGAUCUCUAUAAAUGCUAUCAUGUUACCUUUGUCUAUUCACAAGCAAGUGUUGGUUUGGAAGUACUCAACAUACUUCCAUUGGCAUUUAAAUUAAGCAUGGUGCUUAGGUUAAAUAGCCUUCCUUAAUCUGAUUAGACAUGGCGUCUAGUUUGGUUACUGAAUUAAAAACUGCUUGAGUAGACAUUGGUAUAUUUUGUCGGACUAACCCCUGCAGGAAAACUUUCAAUAUCAACCUGGGAAGUCCUGAGAUACAAACUCACAUUGGAGACAAAGGAGACACGUGAAGUUUAACGAUUUGCACAAAGAAGACAUAGCUCAUUCAUCAUUGAGAGAUGAUCCAUGGAACGAGACAAAGAGUGCCACAAACACGGUGCACUACCGCUAAGAAAGGAAAGCUUCCACAAGGUGAUAAUGUACCAUCACUCUUCAAGUAAGGUAACAUCUUAAGGUACUCGACUAUUACUUUUAUAAGCUUCUCCUUGGUUCUGGCGUUCACAUGAAUAAAGAGACAAACAUAAAUUAACCAACCCAAUUAAUUCAACAUGUUUAGUCCUUUAAUCUUUGUUCUUAGUACUACCUUUGUGAUCCCACACUCCUAAUCAUAUAAGCUAAAAUGUUGCCCAUUCAAUCUUUGGAAGAUAUAAAAAACAUAAAUAUAGAUAGAUUAUCUUUCCAUUAGGUCGAGCGAUCUGAUCUGACAAAUGUUUUAAAUGCUACACUCAUGAUCUUAUUAUCCAUCAACUUUGUCUUGCUCACUAUGCUUAAGGUUAGAGAAGAACAAAUACACUUUUGGUUCUAUUGGUGUUUUUCACCAACAGGGCCCAUGCACUUGAUCUCUGUCUUGUCUCUAUGAGCAGGUACACUUCGAACAAAACCUUAAGGAGUUUUACAACUCCCAGAUUCCACCAAGUGAAGGACUUGGAUCUACGAGCACAAACACACUGAGCAGGAUGCGGCCAAUGCCGCACCUCGAACUACUGGACAAACGAAGAACAUGGGUGACACUGUAUCAAGAGGUGCAGAUGUCAAGGCCCACACCUAAUCAAAUAAUGCACCUAAAGAAUAAACACGGUGAGAAGUAUUGUCCAGAAGACUUAAAACAUUGGAUCCUUACCUGAAGGUAAAAUCGGUAUUUACCCAUAUUUAUCUUUUCUGCAUUCCUUUUCCUUUUUAUUUCAUCACUUGCAUUAGCAUAUUUACUUUUCCACAUUAGCAUUAGAAAAGAAAACAAAAAUAUUUGUUCGUUGCACUGCAUCAUAAAAUCUAAAGCCCCAUGUGAGUAGACUUAUGGUUUAAAACCCAUAGGUAUAUUGGCUGUGCUGGCAUAAAAUAAAUAUGUUUUCAUGUUACAAUAAAAAUAUAAAAAUAAUAAGUGCAUGAUCCUGCUAAAUAAAUAAAAUUUAUUAGGAGGAAUCUCAAUAUGAUAAAGGCUAAGAGAUUUUAUGCUAACACUUAACCAGUUCCACAAAGCUUUGUUAUCUAUUUGAGCUCCACAGAAUUCAAGGAUCAAAGAAGACUAGCGGCGGAGGACAUAGUAAUCGCUGUCAUGGUGCUGCCGACAUUCAAAUACACCCUCGUCACCUGCUAGCUACAUGAGAAGAAAGUAUGUCAAAAUCUAGCUUAGGGGAGAGCACCCCCAUUUAUCCAGCUAAGUGUUUCUACUCGCGUUUAUACUUUACUCAAAUAAUAAAAAGAUGCAUAAUCAUGAAAACCCAAAUAAAAAUUUUUGUGCUUAUAUAUAUCUUUGCUUAGUUUGCUAAAUAAAUAAAUAAAGUGUCUAGGCCAAACUGAACUUAAAUGAUAAACUCUUACAUGGAUAUCAUAAACAGUUGCUCUGCCAUGUACCUAGUAUUCAAGUUUGAGCUCUCUCUCAAGUUUAGGCAUAACUGUUAUAAUUUAAACCUGCUCUAAACCUGAACUUGUAGGAAGAGUACUUGAUCUAAAGUGUAAGUCAUUAACAGAAAUGAUAUGGAAUGGUUGAGCUGCUGUUUAUCUGUUCCUAGAGUUGCUAGAAUUCUGGAGAAUAUUAUCUUUGAAAAUCUUUAAAAUAUUGCAUGAUGAGUUCCUGUAUGAAAAGAGUUUAAAUUCCUACCACAGCCAUACAUACAUGCUUAUUAGACUAAGAACCAUACAUUUACUUUUUACUGCUUAUGAGCAUUGAGUGUGGUCAAGCUGUGUAGACCAUUAGGAGCUUGUCAUGCGGUUAAAAUCAAGAUUCACUUUCACGUUCACUCAUACAUGCUACUUCUACUCCAGAAGUACGCAUCCACAUACAUCCACUCAAUUCCAUCUCCAGAUUCACCUGAAAUUAUUCUACUCCUAUCCAGAAGAGAAUAGCCAAAAACUUUUUCCUACCCCUGUUAUUCCCUGUGAAAUAAAUGCUCCAGUUAUUUUGGUUACUACCACUUGCUACAUUAUUCUAGGAGGGUGAGUGCUCUAAAAAAAUGAUGAAUACGAGGAAAUAAAAAGGGGCAAGUGCUCGGAAUCUCGAAAAAAGGAAAAAUACGAGGAAAUAAAAAGGGGCAAGUGCUCGGAACCUUGAAGAAAAGAAAAAGUGAGAUGAGAGGUAAAAAUGGACAAGUGUCUGACAAUAGAAUUAGGGGUACAAGAUACCCACCUGAGAGAAAAGAAAAAGAAAAUAUAGAGCAUCUCAUUCUCCUCCAAAAGCUUCAAAGUGCAAGAAAGGUAUGUAUCCCAUUAAAAGAGCAAAAGUAGAAUUAGACUUUCACCUGUUAUCACCAUACACCAUUCAUUCGCCACACAUGCACAUCUUGAUUUGACUUAUUGACUUGUUCUUCUAGAUCCAUGGUUUGACUAUGUAAUAAAUGUCUUGUAAGUAUGUAUUAUUUGUCUCCUACCUUUGAGCUCCAGAUAUCAAAACCUUAUUAGAGUAGGGUGAGAGAGAAGGCAAUAUCACUAUGCCUCAUACCAAAAAUAUCACAUACUUUGAGAGAAGGCAUAUACCAUUACUGCCUUAGUAAGGAUCCAGAAAUACCACAAAAGAGAUAUUUGAGAGAGUCAUACAAGGAAUCUCUGAGUUUUAUUUGAAAAUCUGCAAAAACUCCAGAGCUAUAGUUAAUCAAAGAACAAGAGAUAUGGCGCUUGACUAGACUGUUCUAUCUUUUAACUGCUCAAGACACAAGUGACGGUUGCAAGCCCCAUGAUGAAAGGAAAAAUGAGUAAGUUUUAAGUCUUAACAGUUUACUCUAACUCAGAGAUGAGAUCUUGCUUGAACGUAUGUGUACUUUUAAUGCAUGAAACCACUGCAGAAACUCCUGAGUCCAUCCUUGCUCAGGGACGAGCAAGAGGUAAACUUGGGGGAGUUGUUGACGGUCCUUAAGUACCAAAUAUAAUCAUAAAAUAAAUAAAGAAAAGGAUCCAAAUGCAACCAACACCCAGACUUAGGGUUUUAUCUGACAGAAUUCCACGAGUUUUGGUGUUUGUCUAUUCCACGAGUUUUGGUGUUUAUUUGACAGACUUAGGGUUUUAUCAGGAAAUAUGGAGGAAAGGCCCACAUGUAGGGUUUACAUAGAGAUAUUAAUGUGCCACGCAAUUUUCCUCAACCUAGAAGAGUCCAGAAGCCACGGGAACGAACGGAAGUCCGAGCGGGCCCGGGGGCAGGGCGCCCGCCCUCCCCCCUAGGGCGCCCACCCUGCUAUAGGGACCAAUCAGGUCCCACCUUGCGGAUUAUGCUCCACCGACCUAAAGGAUUAAGGAAAACCGUGUGAUUAAGGUUGGUUUGAUCUGACGACCCACGUUCAUUUAGAGGGGCUAUAUAAGCAGGCCCCCUGGCCCCUGGAGGAGGGCAAUCCCAUUAUUCAUUAGCAUAUUUUCCAGUGAGGAUUCAGAGAGAGAGAGGUCCCUCUAGGGUUCCAACCUCAUAGGGCAUAGCAUCCAAUGUGAGAUUAGAAUUAGUUCUUCUAGAUUGAGAGAGAUAGAGUGGAGGUGUAGAUCGGAGGAAGCCCGGCCUGUCGGUGUCUACUCCGAGGUUGUACCUGCGGGAUCAAGUCUCCUAACCCGAGGCUUGCUCCUAGGAUUCUUCAAUAUUUUGACUUCUAAAUUCUAGUAAGUUCUUUGUUCUUAUUGUUCUUUGGUUUAUGAGUUUACUUUAAUCUCUUUCCGUAGAGUUUAGAGUAAUCAUUGCUAGCGUAAACGUGGUGUUUGGGCUAGGGUACUCAUAGAUAUCCCCUGUCUAGCCGGACCGUGGUAGUAGCGAGGAAUGUGACAUUUCUGUAGCUACCUUUGUAGCCCACAAUCCCGUUAGCAGGGUCGGUAGGGUUUAUAGGUGCGGGUUGAACAUCCUUUGUGGUGUCUAGAUUCCGUAAGCCUCUCCAAUAGAAUAGUAGAUCAUCCUUACCAAGGUUAGAACGAGAGUGCGGUUGUAGUCUUCUCUAUACAUCGCUCACAUCAAAUCACAUUGUUUGUAGCCUAAAGGGUAGUAGCAAUAGAUUUGGUUAGUCAGAUGCACGCUUUCUCCCAGUGGUAGAAAUAUAAAUAUGAUACUCUGGAUAACCUCCCGGGUGAAGUGCUCACCGAUAUCCGUGCGCUUGCGGAUCAUUUCCUGAUGGCGUUAACAAAUAUCAACAACAUUACAUUGUAGCCUGAUCCGGUGUCACAGAUGGUGUGAGGGAAGGUGGUGUCUUUGAUUGUGCAUUCAAUGAUUGGAACUCCUGGAUCACCUCUCUUGAUUGGGAAUGGCUUGGGUAGCAAAGGAUCUUUAUCUGUGUUGAGAGCAGUGAUCAAUUGAGUUGUCUCCGCAGGUGCAUGCUUGGUCCUCCUCCAUCUUCUAUUGUUUUUAUUGUUCUUUUUCUUUGGCAUUGGUUGCUGUUCUUCCUCUUCUUGUUGAUGGAACUGCUUUAGGGCUGUAGGAGUUUUCCGGACACGAUUCUUGAAUGUGAAUCUCUCUUUCUUAUCCUUGAUGGAUAGGACGAUCUUGGCGUACUCCGCAUAGAUGAUGGCUUUUGUUGUGCAUAAGAAUGGUCUACCCAAAAUGAUGGGUGCCUUCUCAUCUACUCCUGUCUCCAUGACCAAGAAGUCAACUGGGACAUACGAUUGCCCCACUCUAAUGACAACUUCUUCUAGUACUCCCUGAGGGUAGCAAAUGGACUGAUCUGCAAGCUCCAAACACAUAUUUAUAUACUAUAGGCGAUCAUCUAAUAUUUUCUCAUAAAUUACCUUGGGCAUGAUGUUGACACUUGCGCCGAAGUUACAGAUAGCCUCUGGAAAGCCGUGGCAUCCUAUAGAGAUUGGAAUGAUAGGUCUUCUAGGGUCUCCCAUCUUCUUUGGUAGAGAGUGGUCAAUCCAUUGUACAUCUGUAGGCUCAAUAUGAUAUUGGGUUGCAUUGUGAAUAUCAACAAGGUUACCAGUUUCUAAAUCUUCUGGUUGGCCUAGAAUCUUGCCUUUUUCUAAUGGAGGAACUAUAGCAGCUAAUUGAGCUAAUUGUGAUUCUAGCAUUUUAUUGAAACUAUGCUGAUUUUUUAUGGCAGAAGCAAAAGUAUCCAUUCUAGUAUGUAUGUUUUCCAAAGUUUUAUCAUUUAAUGUUAGUUUCCUAGUCAUUUGAUCUAGUAGUUUGGAUUGACUAGUAACUAAUUCUCUCAAAGGUGGAAGGUUAAAAUUAGAAUUACUACCUUGGUUGUUACCUUGGUAAUUACCUUGUCAAGGUUGUUGGUUCCACCCUUGAUUUUAUUGAGGACGAUAAUAGGUGUUGUUGUUGAUGAAGUUCACAUCCUCUUGUAGUGUAGGGCAACUAACAGCUUAGUGUCCGUAGUCUCCACAUUCUUCACAUGUCAUAUAGGAAUAAUUGAUGUGCAUGACUUCUGUUGGUAUAAAUUAACUGCACUGUAACACCCAAAAAAAAUGCUUUUGAAUUAAUAGGGUUUAAUUGGAUUUAUUUAAGUAUUUUUGUGAGCAUUUAAUUUAGUAAAUAAACAAUUUUUUGAUGAAAUUAAAAUUUAUCAUAAGUUUAGUAAACUUGAGUGUGCAUACAUGCUGAAACAUAUUUUUUUGUGUUGAUUGCUUUUGGUUUGUAUUUAAUUGUCUUCAAAAUCCUUUGGAAAAAGGCUUUGGGAAAAAGAAAAUAAAAAAAGAAGAAAACCCCAGCCGAACUUCCCCCUAUUCUCUCUGGCCUGUUUCUUUUUUUUUUCGGCCCAGCAGACUCCGCGGCCGAGUUCCCUCGCGCGGCCCGAAGGGCAGCCCAGCGCGCGCCCUCCUCCCCUUUCUCUCUUCUCUCGCUGACGAGCAGGCCCCACCCCCUUUGCUCUCUGCCACACUGGCCCCACCUGUCAGCACGCACUGGCUUUCUUCUUCCCCGUUUCGUGACCAAGCCGGACUCCGUGGAGGCAAACAAAUCCGCCCGAUCCCGUUUUGGACGGGAUUCGCCUUCCCCGAACCCCUAUAAAACUCCCAUAUCCACCCCGUAGGUUCCCUUUUGUAUCCUAGCCGACUAAUUCGAGCCCUAGCAUCGGGUUUUGAUUGGUUUUAGAUCUCGCCGCGCAAAGCUUCUUUCCGACGCCGCUGCGAGCUCCGUGCGCGCGUCCUCGGCUUGAGCAAGGUGUAUAGGUGAGCUCGGGGCAAGCUCCUCAUCCGCUCGGUGUAAUUCUUUUGAUUUCUGGUGCUCAGUUUUGCAAGAAACCCUGUCGCCGGCGAGCUCCAGGGCGGAGUCAAUGGCGCCACCGCGCUGCGCCCCUGUUCCGGCGCCGGCGGCUGGUUCUUUUUCCCUCUCUCUCUUGCAUCUAAUCUAAGCCGUCCCUCGUUGAUCCAACGGUUCAUGGAGGCCGAUACCCUUUCAGGUGGAAUUCUUGUUAAAGAGCCCCUACUCUUUCCUGGAAUCAACCCGUCGUCCCUUGGCGCCCUCUGGAAAGCUCGUUUCGCUGUUUGGAAAGUGUAAUCUUGUCGGUUCAGGCUGGAAUACGCUUUCUGGUAUUUACUAAACUGCCACUGCAUUUGUUUAGCUCAUAAAAUCUUCGUUUUAAAUCCGAUUUGACCCAUUCAAAUUUCAUUUGAUUCGUAUUUACGGGCUCUACAUUUUAGAAGUAUUAGUUUGCUGUUUUGAAACUUUUUAAUUCUGCAGUAGCAUUUAAUUAAUUAUUUUUCUAUAUGAAAUCUUAGAAAAUUCAUAACUUCUCCGUUUUAAUUCCGAUUUUCGUGAACUUUACGUUUGUGUGAUUGUAGCGCUGCAUAGAUUAUUUUAAUAAACUUUUAUAUUUGUUUUACCACUAUUUGGUGUAUUGUUCUAAUUAUAGCUUGUUUGCUUCGUGUAUGAUUGUCUAUAUUGGAUUGUGUGUUGUUGAUUGAUGAUCGGAUAUAGACGGUGAGCGAUACGUUGGUGAUCAAGGUCAAGCUUUUGAAGAUCAGCAGCAGGCUCAGGAGAGUUUUGAUCAAGGCAAGUAUAACUGGGGAUCAUCCUUGUUACCUAUACACAAUUAAUACAAUAUAUAUCAUAUGCAUGUGUCCACCUUGAUGACCUUAGCAAAAUCAUAGAUGAUUGUUAUCCUGAAUUCCUUGUUACCUAUUUUGGAUAUGCAUUUGGGUAGUUCUUGCUAGUGCUUGAAUAUAAUCCAUGAUCUUGUAACAUGAAUGUUUGAAUAUACAAUAAACAAUAAAAUAAGCUUUCUAGCAACUUGAAUAUAAAGGGUGGAAAGAACUCUAGCUUUUGCUAAAUUGAUCUUGACCCUCCAUAAGGACUUAUCCCUUGGCAAAAGCUGGGACAACUCAUACAACCAUGAGGGCUAUAUGGCUCUGGUUUUAGCUCAGUAUGAGGAUCUUUUUCUAGCUUGUUAGCGGUUACCUUAAAUGGCGUAAGAAUGGCUAGACACGUUGGGUAUAGUGUGGCCUCUGUCCAUGUGUAUAGGCUGCGGGUUAUGUGCCAUGGAAGGGGGCUCUAUAUCUGCCUGCCGAGUGAAUCUAAUGGCCCUAACUUGUUAGACGAAACCUUUGAAAGGCUUCAUAGUGAUCCCUGUCGACCUCCCUAGGAAGGGGGUUAAGGGACUUGCAACCUUGGGCGAAAGGGUAAAUCACGACUCAUGGGUAAAGAUGUACAACCUCUGCAGAGUGUUAAAUCUGGUAUACUAGCCGUGCCCACGGAUACGGGCGGCCCGAAAAACUGACGGAAUAGACGGACACUGAUGAACAUGAUUAAUGAUGAUAAAGGAUGGUUUAUUAUGUUGUUUAUAUGUGUUAUUCAUAAUUCCUAUAUAGAAUUGAUCAUGUGGUUAUGGGAUUAUUUAUGCUACCUUGACAUUUGCUAUCCAAUGAAUAAAUAUGCUAUCCACUAUUAAAAGCUAAAUGCAGUCAAACCAGUGUCAGCUAUUUGAGCCUCAUGAACCCCUGGUUAUACUUGUUGAGUACGAUAUGUGCUCACUCUUGCAAUUCUCCCACACCUCAGGAGAAGUUUUGGGCUUGUGAUCAACCAGUCAGUUGGAUCCUGUGGAGAGAAGUUAAUACCCAAAGUUUGGAGUUGUCUAUCCGUUGUUUGCUAUCAAAGGUUAUACCUUUUAUAUUAAGUAUGUUAUAUAUUUACACAUUGUCUUUUGAUAUUACCCUUUAUUUGUAGCUAUAUGUGAGAUUUGACUCCUAAAACUCACAUAUGGUGCAUAUCUGGUUUUGUCCUUAAAAUUGGGUAUUACAUGCACUCCAUUUAAAUAGAUUUAAGUAAGACUAUCCGCAAGCGCAUAGAUAUCAUACCAAUGUCAUAUUUUACCUAGAGGUUUUAAAUAUUGUGAUGAUGACAAAGUAUAAAGACUUAACCCUACAAUUAGGCUAGAUCAUAUCAAGAAAAAGGAAAUAGCUAAUGCACUCUGGUUCUGAUUUCGGUAAACUUUGUAUAAUAUCGUCUUAUCGGGCAAGUAACCCGAAUAGGAGAAGAAACAGAGUAAUCUCCUACCAGGCACCUAUAAGCCUAUCAGUCCUAUCAACAGGAAUUGGACUAUAGAGGAAUCAAUGCGGCUAUAAAGUCACCUACGAGAACUACCACUGUCCGGCUGAUCAGGGGACAUCGACAAGUAAACCUAGCCUAGGCACCACGCCUACACUAUGAAAUACUACUUCAACCAAGGAAUGACCAAGAUCAAAGCACUCAAUAUGAGUUGUGAAUCAAAGAAUGAAUAACAACGAGUUGCUUACUUAAAUUGGAAUGGUAAGUACAAAAGUACCUCAGAACGUAGCUCCAGGCGAGGAAACUGGAUCCAGAUGAAUACAGCCACAAAGAAGCACCGAUAGGCCAGAACUCCUCCAGAAUCUCUACUCCUGUAAUCAAUCUCUCUAAUCUCUACACAAGACUAGAUCUAGAAGAAUUAGUCGCUCCUAAUUGCUACAUCUAGAUGAACUAGAACUUUGUGAACUAGAACUAGAUUAACUAGAGGGACCCUAACCCUAAUUAUGUAGAGAAUAUGAAGCACCGGGGUGUAGAAUGCCUAUUGGGGGAAGCCUUGGGCGUCAUUAUAUAGGCCGAGGUGGAGUAGGGGGCAAGGAACCGCCACGUCAGUGAUCCGCAUCUUCGUCUUGUGUGUACCGUCGGAUCAAACUGACUUAAAAUUGAUGGAGGGAUACUUUGCUUGGCUUCCAAGGAGGCGUAGGAGGAAGACUCCAGAAGGCGGCGGCCAUCGGGUGAAAUUGGGCACCGACCGACCCUAGGGUGGGGCUAGCCGGCCCCACCUUUUCUCCUCCGCGGCUCUCGUUCCUUCGGGUGUCUUCUAGACCCUUCCUGAGUCUUCUCGUGAUGUUUUCCGUCGCGGAUGAGUUUCAUGGUAAAUAUGCACUAGAAUCCCUCUUUUCAGCUCUCUGUGAAAUAAACCCUGGAAAAUAUAGAAUAUGCAAAACUCAUGGAAAUUGUCAGAUUAAACCCUAGACUAAUGUGUUUUCAUGUAUUCCAUUGUGUCUAAAGUUUUAAUAAAUAUUGACGUUAUCGACCGUCAACAAUUCCGUCAAGCUUACCUUUUGCCAGUCUCUUGGCAAACCACCUAGAUCUAAUUAUUAAUAAACUUGGAUCAGGAGUUGCUACAAUACUUUUAUUUCUUUUAAGUACACUUGCUUUUAAACAUAAAUUGUCCUCUGGUCUAACUUUCAAACUUACCCAUUUUACCUUUAACUAUGGAGCUUUAUAGCUUUUGCAUAAGUCUUGAGUAAUCGAAAGAUAGAACAAUCAAGUCAAGCACUAUGUCUCAAAUUCUUCACAGUACCAAUAUUCCAGAGUGUUGCAAGUUUUGGAAAUAAAACUCAGAGCUUAACUGUAUGACACCAUCAAGUCUCUGAUUAUGUAGUAUUUAUGGAUCUCACUGAGGCAUUAAUGAGGUUAUGCCUUCCUAUAACUAAGGAUAUAUAUAGUGGAGCUUAUAGGAGUGGCAAUAACAAGGACGAGCAUACUUGCAAUUCAUAUAUUGUAAAGUCAAACAAUGGAUCCAUAGAGAAUCAAGGCAUACAAUCAAAUCAAGAUGUGCAUGUGUAUGGAAUAUGGUGGAUAGGUGUAUAUAUAGUAUUUAGUGGCUAAUCCUAAUUCUACUUUUGCUCUUUGAAAUUUACUCCCUCCUUAGAACUUUCUGCAGGAAAACAUGGGCUAUCUUUAUUCUCUCUUUCUCUCUCUCCUUUUUUUUCAUUACUGCGGGAGGCGGGCAUCGAUGUACCUAUUGUUUUAAUUAUUGGGACAGUUGUCCAUCUUUUACUCCCACUUUUCUUCUCUUUUUUUCAAUACUUUUGCAUAGCCACAUGCAUCCUUUGAAUAUAAAUAAUUGGAGAGAUAAUGAUAAGAACUUAGAGUAAUUAAAUGGAGGUUGUCCUAUAGGGUAUAUUUUUGGGUGUUUACUCCUAGUGUAGGAGAAAAUAUUUUUAAGGUGGAUCUGGAUGAAAGUGGAAAUGACUGUGCUUACAUCCCAGAGUAGGAGUAAUGCAUAUGUGGGUGGAGUGCAUAAGUGAUCUUGAUUUAAAAGGCAUGACAAGACUCUCAAAAGGUAUACUCUAAAGGCUGACUAAACUCAAUGUAAAGCAAGCAGCAUGAAUGCGCAAAGGUUUUCCUAACUCUAAAUGUAUCAUAUAUGGCUUCGGUAGGAAUUUAAACUUUAUCAUACAAGAGCUCAUCACGUAUGAUUUUGAGUUUUUGAAAAUAAAUCUCCAGAGCUUAGUAAUGCUAGGAAUAAAAUAAAUAGCAGCUUAGACCUUCAUGUAUAAUAUCAAUUACCUAGACUCAGCUUAAACAAAUGCCUCCACAAAAUUUAGGUUCAGAGUAAAUUCUUAUAUUAAAGUGGUCAUGUCUAAAACUCAGGAGAAUUCAUGAUUGAAAACUAGGCACUUGAAAGGAAUUACUGUAGAGCAACUAUUCAUCAUCUCCAAAAGAAAAUUUUAAUAUUUUCUAAUUUUUAUUUGACUCUAAACUAGACUGACUAUAGACACACUCUAUGAUCACACCUUAAUAUAUAGAUAAGUAUUUUGUUUUUUAUUUUAAAUUAUUAUUCAUCUUUUUAUUUCUAUUGGACUCAGAAGACUCUAAAGAUAUGGAUCUUCAUGUGCCCAUAUAUUUUUGGUAUUUCAUGACUAUAUAAAAUAGACUUGAUAAUCGCCUAGGUAUAGUUACCUGAUAACUAGGGGAUGCUCCUCCCCCAAGCUAGAUAUUUGCAAUAGUUGGUGUUGAUGAUCUUCAGAGUGAGCUAACCGGCAGCGCUCCAGGUGGGUGCCACAAAUAGACUCUCUUCUUGUCAUAAUGUUGUUCCUACAUAAAGGAAACCAAAACUUGAGCCUCGAAUUUGUUAAUGGGUUAGCGGUCAGCCAAAGAGUAACUGAUCACCUUUAAGAGCUAGCUUUAAUGUUGUCUAAUUUAAACAGGAUUUCAAUUUUCUCUUAUUUUUUAAUUUUCUAUUUAUGAGGCAGGAAAUUAAAUGUUAUAUUUUGUCAUUUUUAUUUUUUGCCACCACAGCGGAUGUUCCUUCAGAAGCCACCAUAGGGUAUCCACAUGGGGCUUGUGAUGCCAUGAGUAAUGCAGUAAAUAUUUUUUUAUAUUUUUUAGUGUGUAAACAAAAUUAUGCUACUAAAUAAAUUAUAAAUGCAUUCAAAGAGAUAACUACCAUUCUAACCUCAUGGCUAGGGUACAGAAUUUAAAGUCUACCGACAGGACUUAGAUAGAGGAGAACACUUACUCAGUGGGUUCAUCGUCUGAAGUAAUCUCAGUCAACUCCCCGUUUCGUGGUGAUGCCACAGGUGCCUUCUUCCAUCUCGCCUCUGUGUCUUUUGCUUCUCUCUUUUCUGGCUCCAGCUCUUCAACUUUAUUAUCUUUCUCCCUCGUUGAAGCUGAGUGGUUCUCAUGGAGGGUCUCAUGCUUAUAAGAGCAAGUGUUUCCUGGAAUACUUCAAUUCCAUCACCCAAGAAGUUAUUUCAUUCAUACAGGAGUUAGCUGUAUGUCAGAAAUGUGUACUUCAAGUGAUGACGAUGAAGAUUCCUAGGUAAGCUGGCUCUUGGAGUCAUCCUAUAGAAAGAUCUCACAAAACACCAAAACUCGUGGAACGGUAUUAGGAUAAAACAAUAAUGAUUACCGUUUUUAGAGGAUUAGGUGUUGUGGUGGUUUCAAAGUAUUUUUAAGACAGCAGUAUUGCAGCAAGAUGCUUAGUUAAUAUUUUUGGAUUUUACGAGUUUAUAUGCAUAAAGUGCAUGAUAUAUAUUUUUAUUCUAUAGGCCACCACAGUGAGAACUCCUACUAUAAGGGUUUCACAUGGAGCUUUAUAUAUAUAUUUUCAUCCUUAGGCACAUUAAACAAGAUAAAGUUGGGUUACAUAAUUUAUUUAUUUAUGAGUGGUAAGAUCAAAGGAUUAAACAUUUAAUGUUGCAUUUAAGUUCUCAUGACAGAAAAGAAUGAAAUUGCUUAACCAAUAGAAGGAUUGUCUGUCUCUAUAUAAAUUUUCAAAUAAGUAUGAGUAUCAUCUUCCCAAGAUUGAAUAUAAUGUUCUAACUUGUUUAGUUAAGACUGAGAUUAAGAGAAUGGUGCCAUGAACAAUUUUAAAGAGCAAAACAUAUUGAAUUAAUCAAUUUAAGUUGUAACUCUAAUAUGUUUGUGUCUUCACUUAUGUGCACACCAAGAUCAAGAGAAUAGAGUGACCACUUACCUUAGAAUAUUAUCUUCAUUAUUAGAGCAUGAUGGCACUUACUGAUGAAGGGUAAAUGACUGCACUACAAGGUUUUGACCCAAUAGCGCCGGCAAAAAUAUGUUGUAAUAUGCCUGUUUUGGUUGUAAUAUGCGCAAUUGCAACCAAACAAUUUCGUCAGAUGGUGAUGCGUAAAGCCUGGUGGUAUUAACCUUCUGCCACGACUAUCUUUUGGUGGUUGCAGGAGUUUAGGUAUUGCAACACAUGUUGAAGUUGGAACAAUUACACAUUGCCACGCUCGAGUUGGUUGUCAUGUAUCCUAUCACAACACAUCAGGUGAUGAUAGAGAUUCCAAUUGCAUCAUCUAUAAAGCGUUGCAAUGUGUAAAAUGAGGCAUUGCAAAAUGUUGCAUUGCUACACCCCAGUUGUGGUUGCUACAAGGGCAACCCCUCUAUUGCCAUCAAUGUGAAUUGGUUGCUAUAUGUGGUGUCCUAUGUUGCCACGAAAUGGAUCUCGGUGCAAUAAGGUGUCCUCUCUAUUGCUACCAGGUGCGUUUGGAGGAAAGAGACUGGACACUCUAUUGCCACACAAUAUGGUUGGUUGUUAUAUGUGAUCUCCUCUAUUGCGUCCAAAACGUUUUGGUUGAGUAAAGUUCUUUUCUCUAUUACCGCCGUGAUAAAAUGGUGGCAACAUGUGUACCUCCCUUUGUUGCCACGACCCAUUGUGACAUCGAAAAAAGUAGGUUGCAACAUGUGUACCUCCCUCUAUUGCCAUGACCUAUUGUGACAUUUUUAAAAGUAGGUUGUGAUAGGAUAAAUUAUCUAUUGCAACGAAUGGUGUCGCUUUUAAUAUUUUUGUACAUACUACCACGUGUCACCAACAAUUAAAAAUAAUAUUAUAAUAUAAAAUCAUCACAAUUAAACAAUCAAACAUGCAUCAAAACACAACUUAACCAUAAAUGUAGCACACAAAUUACAGCACACCACAUACUUAAAUGUUUCUCACUCUCCAUCCAACCACGUGCACACAUGUAGCACUGAAUUAAAAUGUUUGGGGACGACCACACACACACUCCACUGGUUCAAAGAAAUCAAAAUGGCGAUGAAAUGGAUUGAAAUGAAUAUCAUCCUAGGCACUUGAUCAGCAAUCCCAUCACUUGAUCAACAAAGGAUGAUGACUCAAAGUCGAUCCCAUCACUUGUCGCUCCAUCGCAAUGCCUUUACUUUCCUGGAAAGAAUGAAUGACAUAAUUUAGCAUCAAGUAAACUAAAAUUAACAUUAAGAGUACAUAGCAGCAGACACUAAACCAAAGUUUCGUUACUGAUCAUAAAAUUAUAUGAAUUCCUCAUUAAAAAAUUAAAUGAAUUGACCAUCAUAAAAUUAUGAGAAUGACAGCAUGUAAUGAACUCAACUAUAAACACUUUGACAGCUGAAGUAGAAACAUUCACCUCCUGGUUUCUUGAUGCUGUCGUUUCGUUUCUUAGGUACCUGCUUCAACUGCUGUAGAGUAACGAAUUUGCCCGCUGCUGCCUUAGAUGGUUCAUUUCUUCUAGCUUUACCACUUCUUGUCAGCCGAGCGCCAAUUGCCCUUUCUUGAGAUUCCUCCAGGUUGCCUUCAGGCUCCUUGUCCUGGGAACAAAUAAGAUGGAAGGAUAAAAUUAAUUAGGCACCAUUUUGUGCAGUAUCAGAUGAUAGCAUUAAAAAGUUGUCAAUUCACAGUCAACCUGAUUUGAGGAGACCUAAAUCUCUGUGGUAGGGUCAUCAACUUGAGUACUUGUGUUUUCGGCAGCAGCCGGCUCCUCUGCAAUUGCAGUGACGUUGUUGUUUGGCUGGACAUGUACAGAUAGUUAGUUAUAGACCCAAAGGAAAUAAAGUCAUUCAAUAACUAGCUGUUACAAAUUAACAUUUUGCAUUACUAGUACCUGCUGCAACCCUGGCUGAGCUUGUCCUGCUAGCAAUGCUUAGAUCUCUUGCCUAAACGCUUAUUUAUCAGCCUCCCUUGCCCUCAUAACUUCUUCAAUCUGUGCUGCAUAAAAUGCCCUUUGAGCUUGCCUUUCAGCUGCCCUGUCAGCUUCCCAUGAAUUCAUUUGUUCUUGUAGCCUCUUAAAUUCUUCCAUGAGUUCGAGGUGUUCCCAAUGCUGUUGCUCUUCCCUACGAAUUUGUUCCUCGUGAUCCGCAUUCAGCAGUUGCCUUCUAGUUGGGUUUUUUGCAAGGUACCCAUUACCAUGCAACUUUUUUGAUUUGCACUUUAUGACUUCCUUGUAUGCUUCCUGGGAAAGCUCGCUCCUCUCCUUUAGGGAAAGGAAAUUUCCCUCUACAUUUGAUUCUUUAUCACAAAUAACCCUCCUUGCUGUCUCCUUAAAUUUACAACACACAGAUGAAAGAGUUACUUGAUGAUGACAUUGCAGGCAUUAUCUACUUGCAUGCACUAGCAAUUAUGCACAAGUGCAUUAGGAGCUUACAUAGACUUCUUCAGAUGCUUGGUCUUUCCAUGCCCCAUUCUUAGUGUGAGUAAUGUACCAAAGGUCCAUGUCAUUGGGCUCCUCACCAGUUUUUGGGUCUCUCUGAUAUGACAAGAACAGAACAAAUUAGUAAAUCUUGCAGCAAUAAAGCUUGUAGAUGUGCUUCUGUAUUAAUUACCUUCUCAUAGCUACACUGAGAAAAAGGCUUAGAUCCUGACAAAUGAGUGGUCUUUUUCUGGGAUCGAUUCCAAGCGUUCUUCACCCUCUUUUCCUACAUAAUGCAAUUUGAACAUACAUCUUAAUGAUUUAGACAUCGCCAUUUUUCCUAAAUUACUAUUGUUAAGAAUAGUCAGAAUGUGGAACAAACCUUGAACUUUGCACUAUUAAAAUAUUUCAACAAAUAGUGCCAUUCUACAAUGUCCAAUUCUUCAGGCCUAUGGCUCAUUCUCUCCUAGUACGUGUUGUAUGCCUUGGCUGUAGCACUUAAAGUUGAUCGCCACCCUUUGAAUCAUGUCCAUCCUCAAGGUCCCACCUAGCCUGUUAUAUAAUUAAAGGACAUGCAAAUACAUUGUCAUGGUCAGUUGUUACGUUAUUGCAAUAAUUAAAAUCUAUACACAAGCAAAUAUUAUUACUAAUAUGUCAGAUGCUAUUGAUUGUUUUACAUCAUCAUGGAUAUCUUUCCAUGUUCUCACUCCAAUGAGUGGCGCCCUCUUCCUUGUAAACAGCACUAUUUCAUCAGUGAAUGUGCGUGCGUUGUCACCUACCGCUCCUCCAAGUCUAGAGAACUCAACAUGGAGCUUCUGAUUGCCAGACUUGUGUCUCUUAAAGAGUGCCUUCAAGCAUUUGAGGGUACCAUGUCCUCUUUUCUUCCCAUUUUCUGAGCCUAUUCCAUGGCAACAAGAUGUUACAACGGAUAUUAAACGACGACAGCAGUUGAGGGUACAACUUCUUCUUUUCUUCCCAUUUGCUGAUCCUAAACUCAGAGCUAAGUGAUCAAAGAAAAUUAGUUUGUCUUUAUGGCUAGAUAACUUUGUUUAGUUACAUAUCAAAAGACAUAAUGCCUAAGAUCAGAGCUAAGAGAUCAAAGAAAAUUGGUUUGUCUUUAUGUCUCAGAACUAAGAGAUCAAAGAAAAUUACCUUGAACUAGUUUCCAACGCCGAGCAUGAGAUGGUGCCUUCUCUGUUGGUGAUCGGUUGCUGUCUUGAUUGGAAUAUAUAUGAUUGCUAGGAUCAUUAAAAGCAUAUGCAGACAAUAUUGUCACAUGAUCAGCUAGCAUAAUUUGAAGCUUGCAAAAGAAUUGUAAUUUGUCAUCAAGAUAUUACUGAUGUCAUCAAGAUCUCCUUGAACCAUCAACCAUUCUAUAAACAUAUUGAUUUUUUCCUCCUUGUAUAUAUCUUUAACUCUGAAAAACAACAAUAAUAUGAGUCAUGAGUGCACAUUGCAAAAUCCAUAUACAUAUAUACCAGGGAUUUAUGUAACUCACCCAAUGCUUCGCCCUUGGAAUGCAGAUAAGCUAGCCAAUCUUUGUAACCAUCUAGAUCAAAAGCUUCGUCUUCUUCAUCAUCAGAGCUACCUUUCUUCUUUUUAAUGGGUGUUAUGGCAACACAUAGGUUAUUUGCUUGAUUCUUCGACAAAACUAAUCCAAUUUCACUCUCAUCCUGGCAACUAUCUACCAUGCCUGAUAGAUCAACAUCGUAUUCAAGUUCUUGUAGUAUUGCUGACUCAGGAUCAUCAACACUUCUCCUCUUGUAAUACAUGUAGUCCCUGGACCCAUACCCCAGUUUUGAUUUCAAUGUUGUUAAGUUACCUAGAGUGAGAAGACUCUUCUCAAUAGAAAAUGACCUAUGAAACUGUUCUCCCUCCUCAGUCCCCUUGCGAACGACAUAUAUUGUCCACUUAUCCUCCAUUAUGCAUAUUAAGCGAUGACAAUUUCUUUAAAUCGCUAGAAGAGAAUGAUGCAAUAGCAGAGAUUGAUAAGAACACUACUGAAACUAUUAAUAACAAAUAUUUUCUACUUGCAUGUAAUAGAUCAUGAUAAUUAAUAACAAGAUCCACAGGAUUCUCUACUUGCAUGCAAUAGAUCAUGUGACAAUAUUUUCUGCACAUGCUUUUAGUUUAAUCCUGGCUAACAAGUCUAAUACAUUCCAAACGAAUCUAAUACACAGCAACCGAUCCUGAGAUGUACCUAUUCUCGAUCGUGUCCUGAGAUGCAGGUACAAAUUCUUCUUGGCUGUCGUGGAUUGCAUCGUCGUUGGCCGAACUCUGUGCAGCAAAGAGCGAAGCCUUCGCCCUCCAUCUGCUGGGCGCGACCAUGGAAGGUGCAGUUGUUGGUGUCACCGUGGUUGUAGUAAGCAACGCCGACGCAGGUGUGCGCAGCGUUGUCGACGACGAGGGGGUCCCCCUUGUCUUCUCGCUCGACGUCGGCAUCUUGGCUGGAAGAGGAAAACUUGCAGUGUGGUGGCGGCGGCGUCGUCUGCUAAACCUAAUUGAGCGAAAGGGGAUUAAUUAAGAGGCUAAUUGAGGAGUCAGCCUAUAUAUCAACGCGGAAUUUCGACUUAAACGUGGUAAGUGGCGCGUUAGUUUGGCGCUCUUGCUAAAAAAAAUUCGGAGGGAAAAAAUGGCGCCACUUUUGGUUCCCAGUGCAAUGGCUACAAAAUUUGGAAACACAAAAUUCAGGCGCGUGUUUGUAGCUUAAAAAAACGCGCGUUUGUACCUAAUUGCUAGCGCUCAUGUGAUGUGAUCUUCUGACCACGUUUAGUUUAUGAAAUUUCCAAAAACUUAGACUCCCAAAAUGCCCAAAAAUUCCCUACAUUCUGAGCAACAGGAAUUCACCGGUCACCCGAAGAGACGGAGACUGAGAGUUUAUUACCACCUUAGAAGUUUAGGAGGGUGAGAGUCAGCUUAUAAUCUUUUACACGAAAUGGGGAUACAAGUAUAAGUGAGGUGCUACGUGUGCAAGCAAGGCCUUGUUUACAUAUGUAGCACCUCACUUACACUUUUUAUAUCAUAUUUUGAGUGACGAGAACCUGAGCAAUUUUUGGACAAAUUUUACCUAUUUCUAUAAUUAUUUCUUGAUUUUCUAAAAAAAUGCAAAAAAUGCCUGAGGUGCCUAGAAAAAUCUAAAAAUUUGCAUGGUCACAUAAUUUAGCUGUGUAGUGUUGAGGAAAAAGUUUCAGUCAAUUCUGAGAAAGUGGUCAUGCAUGUGCUCGCAGAGGCCCUCAUCUCUCCCACAUGUCCUAGUCACUGUGUAAUAAGGUACAUAGGGAUAUAAGGGAUGUGUAGCACAACUUUCAAAUGACGCUAGGCACUAUUUAUGGUUCGGCCCACACGUAAAUACUGCCAUGAAAACAGGGAUUCAUCUGCAUUGCCCCCAAACUGUCCCAUCAACUUUCCCCUCGUCUCGCUCCCGUCUCGCCCGCAAAGAGCGCAACCUCUCCAUUGCCGAAAUGGUCGGCGCUCGCAAAACCCGCAGCAGCCACCAGCCUCCCCGCUCCCCUACUGCACCUUCCCGCUCCCCUGCUUCACUAGCCUCGCUGCCCCAGAACGCACGACCACGACGUGAGUCGGGGCCCAGCGGUGGCACAGCAUCCCUCCCUCGAGGAACCCGCGGUAGGGUUUUCUUGUUCUACUUCUACUGUUCAUCAUAUAUGCAAGUGACGAUUUGGUUCUUUAAUUUCAGUAUUUGGAUCUCAUUGAUGUCUAUCAUUUAUGUGGAAGUACUAUAGUGGCACUAGGUUUCUAAUCUAGACUGGAUUUGGUAGAUAUAAUCUGUUAAACAUGACUGGUUUAUCCUGGAAGUCUACAAGCCUAAGAAGUGUCUUUAGUUUUGCUGUUCUGUUUCAUUUCUUUGCUUCUUUAGUUCUGUGUGCUGGUAUUUGUCAGGGAUGAUGUUCUGAGAAAGUGCCUAGGGAUGGUUGUUUCGCUGGUGAAGUGUUGGCCUGAGUGUCGUUCCCUGUUGAGAAAGGUGUAACCCACCUGAGAACAAUGUAAUGAAUGCUAAUGUUGUCUUGGUAAUGCUAAGACAGGGGCAAUGCCCUUUUAUUCUAAAAAAAACCCUACUCAUUCUAUGCAAGUGCUUCAAAUUUAUGUGGAAGUAUUACUAUAUAUGGUAAAAUCCUGAAUGAUGUGCUCACUCUGCUUGUAUCAUUAAUUUAGAAGUCCCUGAUUAAUCUAUACUUCUUAUUACUCAUUCUAUGAUUAUGAUGUAGAGUUAAUUUCAAUGCUUACUAUAUAUGGUAUAGCCAUCAUUCUGUUAUGCAAGCUUCAUGCAAUUUUUUCAUGCAAGCUUCAUGCUAAUUUAUCUCAUUGAUGUCUAUCAUUUAAUUAUGUGGAAGUACUAUAGUGGCACUAGGUUUCUAAUCUAGAUUGGAUUUGGUAGAUAUAAUCUGUUAAUAACUCAUUCUGUGCAAGUGCUGCAGAUUUAUGUGGAAGUAUUACUAUAUAUGGUAAAAUCCUGAUUAAUGUGCUCACUCUGCUUGUAUCAUUAAUUUAGAAGUCCCUGAUUAAUCUAUACUUCUUAUUAUUAAUUCUAUGAUUAUGAUGUAGAGUUAAUUUCAAUGCUGACUAUAUAUGUGUUUUAGAUUCUAAUACAAAAUCUGUUUUUGUUGAUGAAGGUUACUUAUCCUGAUCAUGACAAUGUGUUCAUUGUCAAUGAUAAAAUUGCAAUUCAUUGCAUAUUUAGUGAGGAGAGCGAUGAAGAGACUGGCGACUGGCCCAUCCCGAGGGGUAGGGAGGUAACAUAUGCCUCCUCUCUACCUUAAUUAAGAUUCAUGUGACAAUGCUUUGCAUUGCAAAAUUUGAGACAACUAAUUUGAGGAUGUGAGUAUACCACAAAAGUCAAGAUUAGUGGAUGAAGAAAUAACUAUCAAUUAACAAUAUGUGCUAGUUGGCUUUGAUUGCAAAUUUUAAUGGAUGUUGAUGUGGAUAGCUUGCAUGCUUAGAAAAAUAGUUAGUGGGAUUAGGAUUAUAAGAAGUAUAGAUUACUACAAAUGUUAAUGGAGGUAGUAUUUGCUAACUUGCCCCAUUUUGAAUUGAUAGUUGAAUAAACUAGGUGAGAAACUUCGUGUCUGGCUAAAGCGCAAGUACCACAGCAGGGACAAUGAGGUCACCAACAUCAGCAUCGACCCCGCCGAAGUCUCCGACUCUGACUUCUCAUCAACUGGGUGAUGGUGGCCUGCAGUCUCUUGCUUUUGUGUGAAGAUGAUGUAGUGGUAUCUAGAUAGGAGUAAAGUAAUAAGUUGGUGGAAGAACUAAGAUGCUUUUGUGUAAAACUUCAUGCUCUGGACAUCUGUUACUUUAGGAGUUGGAUCUCCAAAAACUUCAUGCUCCCAGUUAGCUUUUGUGUCUCUUAUUGUGUAAAACUUCAGUUAGCUUAUGCUGGUGGCUUGUGUCUCUUAUUGGCCGUGUUUGGAUCCUUCUAAUUUUAUUAGAGUUAGAGUUAUUUUCUAACUCUAAUCUAACCUUAAAUUAACUCUAACUCUUGUGGAGUUUGGAUUAAGAGUUAGAUUGGAUUAGAUUAGCAUGUUUCAUUCAUCAUGCAAGUGGAUUUGAUGCAUCUAACCCUAUUCUAACCCUCCUGUUUGGAUGCUUUAGGGAUAUUUCACCUUCAAAUAGCCAAAUCUAACUCUAACCCAGGGAUCCAAACAGGGCCAUUGUCUUCCAGUUAGCUUAUGAUGGUGGCUUGUGUCUCUAGCCGUUUUAUGGAUAGGAGUUGGAUCCCAAAACCUUCUCACUUCUCGAGUCGUUUAGUUUAGGAAAUGUCCAAAAACUUCUCACUAGGCAAAUAGCAAAAAAAAUAAAAAAACAUCAGCACCUACACAGGCUAGGCUUUGAACCCAACACCUCAAGUUGUAUGGAUUGGUGCACUAACCGCUUCACCUAAUGAGUGUUGUCAUUAAACUUGGACCUGCUACUUUAUUUUGAAAGGUCCCUUCGAAAGGAUAUAUAAAAAAAGAAUGAAAUAUUUUUAGCGUUAAUUUAGGAGCGAGGUGAAACGACAUCUGUUGAAAAAUAAUUUUCAAGGCCACCACUAGUAUGCACGUCUUUGCACCGCCAAUCAAAGCAACCUCCCGUCGAUCUGGAUCAAUAAAGCUAAUUUCUGAAGGUGUACCUCAGCAUCGAUAUACAUCUCUGCGCCACCACUAAUACGUAUGUUGUCUCCAUCUCUCGUAUGCCCUAGUUCAUGCUAGAUCAUGAUCGAUCUUGGGUGCAUCUAUAUGCAGCUCAAUGUCAUCACACGAAGAUAGGAGUUGGAUGCGCUUGCCUCGACAUUCAGAGGAGUUGAAGGCCAAAUUCCGAACUUUUGUUAAAACCUUUGGCACAUCAGCAAAUCAAGCUGGUGGAUCUUUUCUGUGCCCAUGUGCUCAAUGUCAAUGCAUGACAAGAUGGAGUGAUGUGUUUCAAAUUCAUCGUCAUUUAGUUUCUAAAGUGUUUGCUGAUUGUUACAUCAAUGAAUUCGAAGGCCAAGAAACUUCUUCAUCAGAUGAGGGACGUGUCAAUCCUAGUGCCAAUCCUGAUCUAAAUCCAGCUAUACUACAACCUGAAGAUGCACAACCUACUGCUGAUGAUGUAGUAGAACCCCCUUAUUUUGGAGAGGACGAUGAAGAAGACAUAAGCGAUGUUCCUGCUGCCACUAAUACUUUGAUUAGAAACAUUAUCAGUGCCUCUAUACAUGUAGAACGACAAGAUGAUGAGAAACCAAAUAGGGAUGGAGAGAUAUUUUUGAAAUUAUUAGAGGAGGCAAAGAAUGAAUUGUAUCCAGGAUGCAAAGAGGCAACUAAGGUUUCUUUUAUCGUGCAAUUUUUUCAGAUAAAGUGCAUGUAUGGUAUUAGUAACGCAUGUUUGGAGGCCAUACUUAAAUUGUUCUCAAGGGUUCUCCCUGAAGGCCAUUGUAUCCCUGACUCCUUGGAUGUAACACCCUAAAAUUUACUCCUUUUGAAAUAUCGAUAAAAUUAUUUAAUUUUGUAUUUUUGUGCUCAUGANNNNNNNNNNNNNNNNNNNNNNNNNNNNNNNNNNNNNNNNNNNNNNNNNNNNNNNNNNNNNNNNNNNNNNNNNNNNNNNNNNNNNNNNNNNNNNNNNNNNNNNNNNNNNNNNNNNNNNNNNNNNNNNNNNNNNNNNNNNNNNNNNNNNNNNNNNNNNNNNNNNNNNNNNNNNNNNNNNNNNNNNNNNNNNNNNNNNNNNNNNNNNNNNNNNNNNNNNNNNNNNNNNNNNNNNNNNNNNNNNNNNNNNNNNNNNNNNNNNNNNNNNNNNNNNNNNNNNNNNNNNNNNNNNNNNNNNNNNNNNNNNNNNNNNNNNNNNNNNNNNNNNNNNNNNNNNNNNNNNNNNNNNNNNNNNNNNNNNNNNNNNNNNNNNNNNNNNNNNNNNNNNNNNNNNNNNNNNNNNNNNNNNNNNNNNNNNNNNNNNNNNNNNNNNNNNNNNNNNNNNNNNNNNNNNNNNNNNNNNNNNNNNNNNNNNNNNNNNNNNNNNNNNNNNNNNNNNNNNNNNNNNNNNNNNNNNNNNNNNNNNNNNNNNNNNNNNNNNNNNNNNNNNNNNNNNNNNNNNNNNNNNNNNNNNNNNNNNNNNNNNNNNNNNNNNNNNNNNNNNNNNNNNNNNNNNNNNNNNNNNNNNNNNNNNNNNNNNNNNNNNNNNNNNNNNNNNNNNNNNNNNNNNNNNNNNNNNNNNNNNNNNNNNNNNNNNNNNNNNNNNNNNNNNNNNNNNNNNNNNNNNNNNNNNNNNNNNNNNNNNNNNNNNNNNNNNNNNNNNNNNNNNNNNNNNNNNNNNNNNNNNNNNNNNNNNNNNNNNNNNNNNNNNNNNNNNNNNNNNNNNNNNNNNNNNNNNNNNNNNNNNNNNNNNNNNNNNNNNNNNNNNNNNNNNNNNNNNNNNNNNNNNNNNNNNNNNNNNNNNNNNNNNNNNNNNNNNNNNNNNNNNNNNNNNNNNNNNNNNNNNNNNNNNNNNNNNNNNNNNNNNNNNNNNNNNNNNNNNNNNNNNNNNNNNNNNNNNNNNAAGCGAUAUAUGCUAUUCGUUUCCUCAACUCUGGUAGUGUGUGCAGAUUCGGUACGUUGCUAUGGCCUGCCGAUUAUCAUCUGCUGCGGGUACUGUACGUGCUGAUGGAGUGAUGGUUAUCCUCCCCACUAAUUAUCUCUCAUCUUUUGAGCAGGAGCAUGUAAGCCGCCAUGCAUGCAACUGUGCACGUCUAGGACUGCUGCCCCAAGCUGAAGGCUUCCUCUCCCUCAUCGUGCAUAGCAACCUGCAAUUUGCCAUGGCCAUGAUCGUACAGGAGUUCAAGGGUUAGGACAAAGUAUUUACAGAAUAGCCUCUGGUUCGUAAAAUCUUCAUCGUUUCUUUGUUUCAACUCCGAUUUUCAUGAUCUUUACGUCUAUGAAAUCGUAGUGAUGCGUAGAAUCCUUUUAUAAACUUUUCAUACUGUUUUUAUAUGAUUGGUGUACUGUUCUAAUUGUAGCCUUGUUUGCUUCGUGUAUGUUUGUCUCCGAUUGUUUAUGUGUUGGUGAUCGAUGAUUGAGUUUAGUCAGUGAGCAAUUCGUGGUGAACAAGAGUACUUCAGUGAUCAAGAUCAGAGCCUUGGACAACUAGUAAGAUCAGCAAGAUCAGCAAGAGCAAUUGGAUUAAGGCAAGUAUAGCAUUUGGAUUUUAUUUCUGUGACCAUGAUCCUGUGGCUAGAUUAAUGUUAAGUAAUAAAUGAUAAAAGUGACUUUUUAGCAACUUGAUGAUUUGUCUGUACGUGAUCACCCGGGAUAACAGUGCAACCAUGAGGGCUAUAAUGGCUCUGGCUUUAGCUCAGUAUGAGGACCUUUUUCUAGCUUGUUAGCGGUUACCUUAAAUGGCGUAAGAAUGGCUAGACACGUUGGGUAUAGUGUGGCCUCUGUCCGUGUGUAUAGGCUGCGGGUUAUGUGCCAUGGAAGGGGGGCUCUAUAUCUGCCUGCCGAGUGAAUCUAAUGGCCCUAACUUGUUAGACGAAACCUUUGAAAGGCUUCAUAGUGAUCCCUGCUGGCCUCCCUAGGAAGGGGGUUAAGAGAUUAGCUACCUCGGGCGAAAGGGUAAAUCAUGACUCAUGGGUAAAGAUGUACAACCUCUGCAGAGUGUAAAACUGGUAUACUAGCCGAGCUCACGGUCAGGAGCGGCCUUGGGGACAUCUACAUUAAGGGUGAUGAUUUUUGUGUGUUAAAUAUGCUUAUUAUUUAUUGUUUAAUGCUUUACAGUAUUUAUGUCACAUUGAUCAUGAGAUUGUGGGAUCUAUACAAUCUAGUUGCUAUACUUGUGGAGUUCGACAUGGACUCACUCUUGCUAUUUCCCCCAAACCUCAGGAUAAGUUUAGGCUUGUGAUCAACCAGUCAGUUGGAUCCUGUAGAGAGAAGUAAUACCCGAAGGUUGGAGUUGUCUAUCCGCUGUUUGCUAUUAAAGGUUACCUCUUUUAUAUUAAAGUACGUUAUAUAUUUAUGCAUUGUCUUUUGAUAUUACCCCUUAUUCGUAGCUAUAUGUGGGAUUUGACUUCUAAAACUCACAUAUGGUGCAUAUCUGAUUUUGUCCUUAAAAUCGGGUAUUACAUUGGAUAAAGUGCAAAAGGUGGUUCGAGAUCUAGGCUUGGACUAUGUCAAGAUACACGCCUGCAAGAAUGAUUGUGUGUUAUUUUUUAAGGAAAAUGAAAAUCUGCAGGAAUGCCCCACAUGUGGGAGUCUAGGUGGAAAGUUGUCAAGAACACCUCCAAUGGUACUACUUUCAAGAAACGGUUUCCGGUGAAGAUCCUACGCUACUUCCCUCUUAUUCCUCGGCUGCAAAGAAUGUAUAUGUCGAAGAGCACAUCAGAGGACAUGCAGUGGCAUAAGAAAGAGAGGGUCAAUGAUCGGAAAAUGCGUCACCCUGCUGACUCGAAGGCAUGGAAGCACGUGCAUAACAAAUAUAGGUGGUUUGAAAAAGAAGCUCGUAAUGUUAGGCUGGGUCUUGCUUCUGAUGGCUUCAACCCCUUUGGGAUGCAAAGUACAACCUACUCCAUAUGGCCUGUUGUUCUAAUACCUUACAAUUUGCCUCCUUGGUUGUGUCAGAAACAAUAAAACUAGAUGAUGUCAAUGUUGAUCCCUGGUCCAAAAUCUCUUGGAAUGGAUAUUUACGUAUAUUUGAGGCCUCUUAUAUUGGAGCUCAAGGUGCUUUGGGAAAAGGGUGUUAGAACAUGGGAUGCACAAACCAGGAAAAACUUUAGAUUAUGUGCUAUUUUACUUUGGACAAUUAAUGACUUCCCAGCAUAUGCUAUGUUGUUUGGUUGGAGCACGAAAGGAAAGUUUGCAUGCCCAUAUUGUUACAAAGAUACUGAUUUUUUGUGGUUGAAGCAUGGGCGAAAGCACUGCUACAUGGCCAGUCGACGUUUCUUACCCUUGGACCAUAUUUGGCGCCAGAACAUGGUCAGCUUCAACAACAAGGUCGAAACUAGGGAGGCACCAGUACCACUGACUGGUGCACAGGUACUUGAGCAGUAUGAAAGUUUUGAACAAGUGAGUUUUGGAAAGACAUCUACAAAAAAAGGAAGCGCGAUGAUGAUGAAAGAUGACACAACUAGAGGAAGAAGAGUAUUUUUUUGGGCUCCCAUGCUAGUCUUCUUUGCUCAUCAGGCAUAAUUUGGACGUCAUGCACAUUGAGAAAAAUAUAUGUGAGUCCAUAUUAGGCACUCUGCUAGAAUUGGAAGGUAAGUGUAAGGAUGGGGAGAAGGCCUGGCUUGACAUGCAGCAACUAGGGAUAAGACCAGAUCAACAUCCUGUGAUCAAGAAAGAUAAGUAUACCUUGCCAGUAGCCUUGUAUAAGUUAGAUAAUGAUGAGAAGGAUAAUUUAUGCAAAUUUCUAUAUGGAGUGAAAAUUCCUGAUGGGGUCUCCUCCAAUAUAAGAAGAUGUGUUGCCCUAAAAGCAUGUAAGGUGUCUGGCUUGAAAUCUCAUGAUUACCAUCUAAUUCUACAAACUGUUACCCUUAGUGGUGCGGAGGAUUUUGCCACAACAAGUUGUCGUUGCAUUGAUCUAGCUUAGUAAUUUCUUCGAUGCACUAUGUUCCAAGGAGCUGAGGGAAGCAGACUUGGACAAACUUAGUACUACAAUUGUUGAUACUCUAUGUCGACUAGAGAUGAUAUUCCCACCAUCAUUUUUUGAUAUCAUGAUGCAUUUGCCUAUUCAUCUAGCUGAAGAGGCUAAACUUGGAGGGCCCGUUUGUUAUAGAUGGAUGUACCCAAUGGAGCGGUACCUACGUACUACAAAAGGAUACGUGAGGAACAAGGCGCACCCUGAAGGGUCAAUAGCCGAGGGAUACAUACUCGAUGAGUGCCUUACAUUUUGUUCUAGAUCCUUGGACAUGGACACCAAACUAAAUUGUGCUGAUCGUCAUGAAAGUGUUGCCGUGAAUGAGCCACCAUUUGGUCAGAGCUUAUUUGCUGCAAUGGAUUACAACAGGAGAGGACAGAUUGUCAAGCUCCUUGACAGAGAUGAGAUGCGGAAGAUUAAGCACUACAUAAUUUCUAAUUACGAUGACGCUAAACCAUUCAUCGAGUAAGUUACAUAUUAAUUAAAAACAUUAUUUUUAAAUAUUAUAUUUCAAACUAACAUUAUUAAUAUAACUUUUCUAUGUGUAGUGCGCAUAUGGAAGAACUGCAGAUGCGUGGUGGUACAAGAAAUCUUAAAAAGCGACACGAGGAACAAUUUGUAAGAUGGUUCGAGGGCAAGGUGAGAGAGCAAUAUGCCAAACGGGAUGUAAGUGCCGAGAUGUUUGCACUUGCUGAAUGGACGAACAACUGAGCUCGUAUAUUGCACAGAUGCCAUAUCAAUAAUUGACUGUUUCGAACAGUUGACAUUGAGAAAAACCUCGUCACACAAAACAGUGGUGUGCUUGUCAAGGGAGACCCUGCUAGUACUGGUAACAUGUGCUGGUAUGGGGUGAUUAAAAGAAUGAUAUCACUAGAAUACCCUAGACAAAAAUAAGUCAUUUUGUUCGAGUGUGACUGGUAUGAUGUGUCUGCUGCCAGUACAAGCAGAGGUAGAGGAUACAAUAAGGAUCAGUUUGGGGUUAUUGAUAUUGAUACUACUCGGAACGGGUAUGAGAAUGAACCCUAUAUUCUUGCGACACAGGCAGAACUAGUGUUCUACGUGGAUGUGGUAAACAAACCUGGUUGGAGAAGUGUUAUUGUGAUGAAACCAAGGGACUUGUUUGCCAUGCAUGAAUUAGAACUGGAGGACUCAAUUGAUGUGGGUUUCCAAGGCAUUAAUGAUUUACUUGGUGGACAAGAGGAUUUGACAACAAGUUGGACCAGAUCGGACAAGGAAGGCACAACCGGGGAUGUCUUUGUUAUUGCUCAGGUGCAGGCCGAAGCAGCUGAUGAACCAAACCAUGUGGCCUUAUUAGAUGACAAUGAAGAUGAGGAAGAUGACACGUACAUUGACGAUGGAGUUGUUGCACCAACUAUUUGUGGGGUAGAAUCCCGAGAUGAUGACUUUUUUAUUUGCUUACUUAUAUUAUUUUGUUUGGGUGUGAACAUGUAUAGAACUCACAUACUAUAUGUCGAAAUCAAGUGUUUUUUGAACCACACUGUGAAAAUUAAACAGGUAAAAGAUACCUUUUGAACACAUACAAGCUGUGUUGAUCCAUAAACAUUACCAAACCUCAAUAGAUCAGGUACUUGACUACAACACUAAGUAGAACAAUUGCAACACAAACAAAGACCACAUUCAUUUUCCACAUUAGGUGGUCCAAUUUGGUCUCCAGGUCCUUCAUCCCCUCAUCAUCUAUUGCUUGUUCACUUGCCUCUAUCAAUACUUCCAGCUCCUCACAUAUGAUGACAACCACCUUCAUAUCAAUCAAGUCAUCUAAGCACUCCUUCUAAAACUUAUAGUAGCCACAUAAUUUGGAAUUCUACAAAAAGUUGGAACUACAACAGUUAACACAAAGAUUUAUGCAAACAAUCAUGAUGGUUGACAAUAAUAUUUACAAGAAAACUUCAAUGACCCCAUUCCUCGGACACUUGAUAAAGCUCCUGCCCUUGUUUUUAGUCUCCGACAUGACGCGGAGUUCGAUCACACGAGCGAGCUUGGAAUCUGGACACAUAACUAGAGGCAGCCCAGUUUCUUGACCAAUCGGAUAUGGUGCUAGCGCUCAUCGUUCCUCCCUCCUCGAUACCCUACUCCCACUGGAUGAAUUACCUUCCCUGUGUGCCGCCAUACCUAGAUCAAGCGAGCAGGGGGGACGAUGGCAGCAGCAGUGGGCUGAUUGGGGAAGGAAGAUAUGUGGCGUGUGGAUUGGGGACUACUGACCCAGCUAUUUAUAGAGGAAUAGAAAUUAAAGUGCAACCAAGUAAGCCUUCGUUGCAAUAGACGUAUAACAGUUGCCACGACUAUGGCCAGUAUUACUACCACACAUCAAUAGUGUUAAUACGUAUAUAUAUUGCAUCUCGCAGCAAGAAAGGAUGCAAUUGUCAUCUAGAUAUUGCCACAAGGAACCAAAGCAUGUUGCAACCUAAAUCAAUUGUCGUGAUGGUGCCCUUCAUAAGCAACCAAAGCUAAUAUGGUUGCCAUAUCACCAUUCAUUUGCAACACACGAAAUGCUAAUGCAACUCAAAAUUCGUGUAGCUGGACAACGCGCAAAUUGCAACAGGUGUAGCAACUAAAAAAUAUCGCAACACAAUAAAGGUGUAGCAAUAUGUACCCCUAUUACUACCAAUUUAGUGUUUGGGUGUCAUAGGACCCCCCAAUUGCAACCAAAUGAGUGGUGUUGCCUAAAUGUUUUGUGGCUAAUGGGUCAAAACCUUGUAGUGCUGGUGGUCCUUUCUCUUGCAUCUUGAGUUGUUCAUAGACAUCUUGUUUCCUCUUUUGUACUCAUUCUUUUGCCAUCUUUUGCUUCUUUAAUCUGUUGGCUCUUUUCACUCUAGUUAUCAUUAUGCCUACAACAGAUUAGUGGACAACACAUACCCGAAGGAAUAUACAAGGAAUGAUAAGGGCAUUGUUGUAACACAGCUAAGGGUCACUUUCUAUGCUACAAAAAAGGAAUUUGCUUGAGCAUACUUUGCAUAGCGCAUUUUUAUUCACAAUUACUUCUUUCUAAGGGUUUGAAUUUAUUUUCCCAUCUUAUGUUUUGAUUCUCAAAUAUAGGCAUUAUGAUUAGCUCAAACUUAUAGAAAUAAAGCAAAAGUGAAUUUAGAGAUUGCAAACCAGCAUGUGGAGCGAUGGGAGCAUGAGAUAUGGAAGAACUUGGUUGGAUCAUCCAGAGAAGUUUGUCAUUUCUUCCUCAUGUCUCACCUUCUUGACCGUAGAUGUGAGAGUGCUUUGAUUGUGGAACAUGUUUUGUGGCACCCUUCUUUCUUCUUGGCUACGAGUGAGUUGUGUCUCUCUUCAUCUCCAGUGUGAGUUCAUCUUAGGACUUCCCCCAAUUUGAAUUUGGAAAUUUUCCUACAGGGGUUAGUCCAACAAAAUAUUCCAAUAUCUACUACAGCAUACUAUCGGCUCAAAAAUCAACCUAGACACCACGUCUAAUUUGAUUAAAGAAGGCAUGAGGACAAUCUUGAAUGUAUCCUUGCAAACACUCCCAUGCUUCUAAAAUGGAUUUUGUCUGCUGCUUUUGGAAAUUAGUAAUAUGGUCUUGCCUAUUAGGAAAAUUUUUGCUAGAAAGGCCUUGGAACACUUCGCCCAUGUGUUGAUGUCUUCUUUAUUGGCAUAGAACCACUGCUUCUCUCUUUGCACUAGCAAGAAUGGAAAGAGGCGAAGUAGUAUGAUAUCUUGAUUAACUCCUUUUAUGGUGAUGGUGCUUCUAAUCUCCAUGAAGUCUUGCAAAUGUGCACUUGCAUCUUCAUGUACCUUUCCGCUGAAUUUGAUAGCUUGCACCAUGUUGAUGAGGCUUGGCUUGAGCUCAAACUCAAGAUCUUCUGUUUCUAGUACUAGACUAGUGUGAAUGUUCUCCACUAUUGGGGCAGAUAACUCCAACAAAGUCUUUUAGCCAUAACUUUAGAUACUGGUGAUGUGCUUCCUUUUUUAUUGAUCCAAUUCUAAUGGUGUAGAGUUGAGUGAAUCCAAUGCAAUCAUGCUAAUACCCUGUACAAAAUAUAAACAUAGAAAAAACAAAUAGGGGUAAACCUGCCAAGUAGAGGUACUAGCAACCUACUAGUCAUUUACUAAGUAUCUGUUUAGGCAAUUUUUCUCAAGAAGUUUAAUCCUUCCCUGGCAACAGUGCCAGAAAUGCUUGUUGAUACUUCUAACACCACUUAAGCUAGAAGUGUUGGUGUAAAAACUGCUCCACUAAUAAAAUAAAUUUAGGAUCCACAAGCGUACAGAUUAAAUACCAUUGCAGCACUUCUCCAAGAAGUAUUCUAGGUAUCGUUAUUUAUAUUUAGCUCAAGGGAAAGAACUAAGGACUUUAAACAAUGAGAUGAACUUGCAAAACAUGAUUACUGUUGACGGUAGAUAAGCACUCUUUUUAACCGUCAACAUAGCAUAGGAUUAAAAUCAGAAUACUAUCUAGCUAUAGGGGUUAUCACUAAAAGAAUUCCACAAGUUUUGGUGAUUUUCUAUUUCUGUAGGGGUUAUCGGAAUAAGAACAAAAGGAGGUCCACAUGUCAGAUUUACAUAAAGAGAACACGUGAAACGUCAACUUAGGAAUACUCCAGAAGGCUUAGGAAGACACCACCUGAAAGGUGGGGCCCACCUGCCAUAGGGCAGGGGAGGGCCCCCCACCAUAUCAGGGGCAGCCGCUCGGGGCGUUCAACCAAUCAGGUUGAACCUCGCGGAUCCUACCUCCACCGACUUUGAGGAUUAAUCUUAAGUGCAUGUUUAAGUCGGUUUGAUCCAAGGUCUAUGGAGCUUCCUAGGAGACUAUAAAUAAAGACCCUGACCCCUCUCUCGAGUAGGAGUUAAUAAUUAUUCUCUAAGAAGAUCAAGAGAAGAAUUAUACAGAGAGGGGUCCCUCAAAUGGAUCUGUCUCUAUAGGAUUCUUAGCCACCAUCUCAAUUAGAUCUCUAUAGUUCUUUAGCAUAGCUACAUAGGAAUACAUCUAGAAGGAGUCAAGUCAAUCUUGGAGUCCAGAUCUAUCUUCACUUCUUGGUAAACUCUUAUUCUCUUUGUAAUAGUUCUUGCUACUAUGAAUAUGAUGUUGAUCUAUUUGAUUAUAUCAGAAUUGACGUUAUUCUAUUUGCUUAUAUUCUUAAUUAUAUUGUUAUUAGUUUACCUAGAUUAUAUGCUUAGUGAAGUUAGGUUAGAAUUAUGUUUAUGCAUAGGAUCGUAUAGCGCUUACUCAUUAGAUCGAUGGGUAAGUGGUAAAUAUUGUGUAGGCAUGGUGCCUAGACCGUAUUUAUCUGUGAUUACCCCUUAUAGUCUGGAGCUUGAGGUAGAUUUUAUCUGUGAUUACCCCCUAUAGUCUGGAGCUUGAGGUAGAUCACGGGAGUGACAGUCCUGUUGAGUUCUUUCUAUUCCUUCUCCCGAUUAUAAGGAUUGUAGAGCACCAUUAUUAUAGAGAAGUUUUUGCUAUGUUCAUGAUCUUUCUUGCUAAUAUCACUAUGCAUAGAUAUAACAUUUUCUAAUGAUGAUGCUAGCUGUACUUGCACUAAUCAAUGUAUGCUUUGACAGUAUAGUUAGAAUACUUAGGAUUUAUUAUUGUAGUUUGUCCUAAUACCAUGCUAGUGCUAUAGACUUAGAGUAAUUGAAUUGAGAUGAUAAUCAUGUUUAUCAUAUGGCUAUGAAUUGUUAUUUAUCCUCUGUCACUUAUUAUUCAUAUUCAUAUAUUUAUAUUAUGUGACACUUACCCUGCAUGAGAGAUAGAUAAAAACAUCUUUAAGGUCUCCACGAUUACAUGUAGUGCUCAUUGCUCAUUAUCCAUUGUAAGUCCCUUCCCAGUGGUAAAAAUAUAAAUAACGAUACCUGGAAUACUCCUGGUUAAAAUGCUACAUCGAUAUUAUCUGUGUGCUUGCGGAUCCUUUAUUUAUUUAUUUAUUUAUUUAUUUAUUUAUUUAUUUAUUUAUUUAUUCCUAGAACAACAUAUAGAUUUAAUAUCAGCACUUCUACAUAAUGUUAGGGAUGACAACCUAGCUCAAGUGAUGUUAAAUAAUUUUAACGCCAUUGCUAUGGUUAGGUUUAAGAGUCUAUUUUUAGUAGUUGCGUUAAGAAGUGUCAACAAGCAUUUUUGGCACCGUUGCCGGGGAAGAUGAAAACAUCAAAGGAUAAUGAGCAUCACUGCCUCAACCCCCGUAUACCGAGCUAAGUAUCUCUUUCUUACUCAUCUAUCUAUUCCUAGUGCGUUAUGAUAAGUUAAAAAGAUGAAUAACCUUAGAAACCCAAUAAUAUUUUAUCUUUCAUAAUUAUUUUUUCUAGCUAUGGAGAGAUCUUAAGGAAUCUGUUAAAAUGAACCUCUAGAAUAAACUCUUAUAUGGAGAUGAUGAAUAGUUGCUCUGCUAUAAUUCCUUGCAAGUAUCUAGUUUUCAACCUUAUACUCCCCUGAGUUUUAGACACAAUUGUUUAGACUUAAGCUUUUGCUCUAAGCCUAAAACUUGUGGGUAGCAAAUGCUUGAUCUAAGUCUAGGUAGUUGAUGGAUAUGAUAUGGGAAGGUUUUGAGCUACUAUCAAUCUUGCUCCUAGAGAUGCUAGAAUUCUAGAGAAUUUUAUUUUGAAAAUUUUAAUUUGCUACAUGAUGAGUUCCUUUUUGAUGAGAGUUUAAAUUUCUACCAUAGCCAAAUACUCAUGUUUGCUAGAUUAGGAAGACCUCCACUUAUAUUUCAACCUAUAAGCAUUGAGGGUACUUAAGCUGUGUAGACCCUAAGGAACUAGUCAUGCAGUUAAAGUCAAUAUUAUGUGCUCUCCAUCCAUUGAUCUUAGCUACUUCUGUCCUCAGAAGUAUGCAACCACUCACAUCCACCACAUUUACUAUGUGCUACGUCUGUUCUUGGAAGUACCACCCACAUAUACGCACUACACUCUAUGUUGUUUCUAUCUUGGAGACAUGCACUUAUGCUGCUUCUACCCUAGGAGUAAGCAUCUCUUCAUCCGCCCACAUACAUUUCAUAUCCACUUAGAAAAUGUUCUACUCCUCCACUAGGAGGGAAUACCAAAAAAUAUCCAUUGUCUUAUUCUACUUAUAUCCAAUAAAGAUAUAGUUAUUUCAGUUGAUACUCCCUAGAUAUUAUCAUUGCAUUAAAGGGGUUGGCUGAUAUAUAAAAAAUGAGAGAAAAGAAAGAAAGAGGACAAAAGUUCCAAUGCAAAAGAAAGACAGCCAAGUCCUUAUUCUUAGAUUAGGGAGGUAUGUUUCCCCAAGGAGCAAAUGUAAAAUUAGAUAUUCACCAUUAGUUAUCACCCCUCAUAACCACUUUUAUUAUUAUUAUCACUUCACUUCACCUCACUCAGAUGCACAUAUGACUUGAUUGUAUAAUUAGUUUCUUUGGAUCCAUGGUUUAACUAUGCAAUACAUGUAAGUAGGUUUCAAUUGUCUUUCCCACCUAUGAGCUCCACAUAAGCCAAUUAGAAGUAGGGUGAGAAAGAGGAGGCAACUAUGCCUUAGUCCUACAAAUACCACAUAUUCUGAGAGCAGAGAGAAGGCAUACUCACUUGCCUUGGAGAGGAUCCAGAAAUACCACAUAUGAGAAACUGGAAAGUGUCAUACAAGGAAACUCUGAGUUUUAUUUGAAAAUCUUGCAAAACUCCAGAAUAAUAGUUGAUCAAAGGGUGAGUAGCAUAGUGCUCGACUUAACUAUUCUAUCUUUCAACUGCCCAAGACCUGAGUGAUAGCUAUAAGCUCCAUGGUUAAAGGUAAUAUGGGUGAGUCUUGAGUCAGAAUAGUUCACUCUAAUCCGAAGGAGAGUCCUUGUUUGAACGCUUGUGUACUUGUGAGGCGUGAAAGUAUUGUAGCAACUCCUGAUCCAUCACUGAGUCUAUCUUUGCUCAGGGACGAUCAAAAGGUAAGCUUGGGGGAGUUUGUUGAUGGUAGAUAAGUACUCUUUUUAACCAUCAACAUAGCAUGAGAAAGGAUUAAAAUCAGAAUACUAUCUAGCUAUAGGGCUUAUCACUAAUAGAAUUCCACAAGUUUUGGUGAUUGUCUAUUUCUGUAGGGGGUUAUCAGAAUAAGAACAAAAGGAGGUCCACAUAUCAGAUUUACAUAGAGAGAACACAUGAAACGUCAACUCAGAAAUAAUCCAAAAGGCUCGGAAAGAAACCACCUGAAAGGUGGGGCCCACCUGCCAUAGGGCAGGGGCAGGCGCCCCACCCUGUCAGGGGCGGCCGCCCGGGGGGUUCAACCAAUGAGGUUGAACCUUGUGGAUCCUGCCUCCACCGAAUUUGUGGAUUAAUCUUAAGCGCAUGUUUAAGUCGAUUUGAUUGAAGGGUUGUGGUGCUUCCUAGGGGACUACAAAUAAAGACCCUAACCCGCCCCUGGAGGAGGAGUUAAUAAUUAUUCUCUAAGAAGAUCAAGAGAAGAAUUAGACAGAGAGGGUCCCUCGAAUGGAUCUGUCUCUAUAGGAUUCUUAGCCACCAUCUCAAUUAGAUCUCUAUAGUUCUUUAGCAUAGCUACAUAGGAAUAGAUCUAGAAGGAGUCAAGUCAAUCUUGGAGUUCAGAUCUAUCUUCAGUUCUUGGUAAACUCUUAUUCUCUUUGUUAUAUUUAUAAUAGUUCUUGCUACUAUGAAUAUGACUUUGAUCUAUUUGAUUAUAUUAGAAUUGACUUUAUUCUAUUUGAUUAUGUUCUUAAUUAUAUUGUUAUUAGUUUACCAUGAUUAUAUGCUUAGUGAAAUUAGAUUAGAAUUAUGUUUAUGCAUAGGAUCGUUGGUUUGAUCCAAGGGAUGUGGUGCCUCCUAGGGGACUAUAAAUAAAGACCCUGACCCCCCCGGAGGAGGAGUUAAUAAUUAUUCUCUAAGAAGAUCAAGAGAAGAAUUACACAUAGAGAGGUCCCUCGAAUCGUUCUGUCUCUAUAGGAUUCUUAGCCACCAUCUCAAUUAGAUCUCUAUAGUUCUUUAGCAUAGCUACAUAGGAAUAAAUCUAGAAGAAGUCAAGUCAAUCUUAGAGUCCGGAUCUAUCUUUAGUUCUUGGUAAACUCUUAUUCUCUUUGUUAUAUUUAUAAUAGUUCUUGCUACUAUGAAUAUGACUUUGAUCUAUUUGAUUAUAUCAGAAUUAACUAUAUUAUUUUUGCUUAUGUUCUUAAUUAUAUUAUUAUUAGUUUACCUUGAUUAUAUGCUUAGUGAAGUUAGAUUAGAAUUAUGUUUAUGCAUAGAAUCGUAUAGCGCCUACUCAUUAGAUCGAUGGGUAAGUGGUAAAUAUUGUGUAGGCGUGGUGCCUAGACCGUAUUUAUCUGUGAUUACCCCUUAUAGUCUGGAGCUUCAGGUAGAUCGCGGGAGUGACAGUCCUGUUGAGUCCUUUGUAUUCCUUCUCCCGAUUAUAAGGAUUGUAGAGCACCAUUAUUAUAGGGAAGUUCUUGCUAUGUUCAUGAUCUUUCUUGCUAAUAUCACUAUGCAUAGAUAUAACAUUUCCUAAUGAUGAUGCUAGCUGUACUUGCACUAAUCAAUGUAUGCUUUGAUAGUAUAGUUAGAAUACUUAGGACUAAUUCUUGUAGUUUGUCCUAAUACCAUGCUAGUGCUAUAGACUUAGAGUAAUUGAAUUGAGAUGAUUAUCAUGUUUAUCUUAUGGCUAUGAAUUCUUAUUUAUCCUCUGUCACUUAUUAUUCAUAUUCAUAUAUUUAUCUUGUGUGACACUUACCCUGCAUGAGAGAUAGAUAAAGACAUCUUUAAGGUCUCCAUGAUUACAUGUAGUGCUCAUUUCUCAUUACACAUUGUAAGUCCCUUCCCAGUGGUAAAAAUAUAAAUAACGAUACCUAGAAUACUCCUGGUUAAAAUGCUACAUUAGUAUUAUCUUUGCGCUUGCGGAUCCUUUAUUUUUUUAUUUAUUACUAGAAAAACAUACGAACUUAAUACCAGCACUUCUACAUCAUGUUAGGGAUGACAACCUAGCUUAAGUGAUGUUAAGUAAUUUUGACGCUAUUGCUAGGGAUAGGUUUAAGAGUCUAUUUUUAGUAGUUGCGUUAAGAAGUGUCAACAAUUACUUAUGAGAGAUGGGUUGCAUAGUCACAUACUUGGCAGAGGGGUAAACCAUGAUAGAUAAAUAAUAUGAAGUAUAAAAGCUCAAGGAAUAAAUCACACGGAGAUUAGAGAUAGACUACUCAGCUUAAUAUUAGGUAAACGUCUGAUUAGUUCAAGAGAUAGAAAAUCCUAAGUAGUUCUAAUUUACUAAGUCAUUCAUCUACUCUAAUGCUACACUAUCAUAUAUAGUACAGAAGACUCUUUAUCUAUGUAUAAGGAACAUUGCUAUAAAAAGCCAAGACAUAGCUGAACUUCGUACGCAACUGCAGUUCUACCAAUCCUAUCAACGGGGGAUGGAAUAUGAAGGACUCAAUGGAACUAUCACUUCCAUGAUCUACCACAUGAUCUAGCCAAGAGGGUGUAGUUGCAUAUAAACUACUUCUAAGCAUCAUGCUUACAUGACAUCUAUCACCUAACCCUCCCACGAAGAGAGCUAAGCGCUUUGCAAACAUAUACAUAAACUUAUUAUCAAUCAUAACCAUAUCAAAUAUAGAACUAGAAUAAACUAGAAACAUAAUAAAUAGAAGCAUAAUGAUAUUUAGAAUAAAGUCACAAGGAAGAUACAAGAUAAUACCAAUCCUUGAUGAUGAAGAUCUGAAGUUCCGAGCACAAGCGCCCGACUCUUCCUCUAUCUAGUUUAAACCUAUGUAGAAGUUGAAGAUUUGGAGUAGCUAUUCUAAUUCUCUAGUGGAGAUAUCUCUAAUCUCUAGCUCUACCAAUGGCUAUCUCUAAUUCUCAAUGGAGAGAAUAAUAAUAAUAAUGAAUUCCUCCUCCAGGGGGUCUACCUUUGCUUAUAUAGCCCUCUAGGAAGCACCUCACCUCUUGGAUCAAACCGACCUUAAUAGAUGGUCAAGAUUACUCGUCAAAGACGGUGGAGGCAGGAUCUGUGAGGUUGAUCCUCAUUGGCGAGGAGGCCGGGCGGCCACCCCUAGGGCAUGGGCGCCCGCCUAGGCACAAUGCUAGGUGGGCCCUUGCUUUGGGGUGUUGUCUUCCCGAGUCUUCUAGAUUGUUCUUGAGUUACUGACGUGAUCUUCUCUCUAUGUAAAUCUAACAUGUGGACCCCUUUUGGUUAAUUUCCAAUAACCCCCUACAGAAACAGACAUUCACCAAAACUUUUGGAAAUUGUCAGUGAAAACCAUAAGUCUAUGGUGAUGUUUAGUUUUCAUCCGCUUUUCUCUCCUUGGUUGACAUAUAAAAUUGAUGGUUAACAACAGUCCACACUAGCAAGGACUCAUCCUUCCAUCCUCUUGAUGGCUGAUCCUGGUGGUACCAUCCUGCAUGGAAUAUGUCUACAAGGUUUGCAGUUUCUGAAUCCUCCAUUUGCCCCAGAAUCUUACCUUUGUCGGUCGGUGGAACAGGAGCUUCCAACUGAGAUAUAUGUGACUCAACCAUCUUAUUAAAACUAUGUUGAUUCUUGGUGGUAGUGGCAAAGCUAUCCAUUCUAGUAUUAAUAUUUUCUAAGACUUCAUCAUUAACAGUUACUUUCUUUGAUAGUUGUUCCAUUGCCUUAGAUUGAUUAGCAAUUAACUCCCUCAAUGGUGGCUGAUUGAAAGCAUUAUUGUAAUUGUUACCUUGAUAGUUGCUUGAAUAGUUACUUUGAUAAUUAGGACUUUGUUACUGUUGACGGUCCUUAAGUAUCAAAUAUAAUCAACAAAUAAAUAGAGAAAAGGACCCAAAUGCGACCGACACCCAGACUUAGGGUUUUAUCUGACAAAAUUCCACGAGUUUUGGUGUUUGUCCAUUCUUCAGGGGGUUAUCAGGAAUUAUGGAGGAAAGGCCCACACGCCGGGUUUACAUAGAGAUAAUUAUGUGCCAGGCAAUUUUCCCUAACCUAGAAGAGUCCAGAAGCCACGGGAACGAGCGGAAGGCCGAGCGGGCUCGAGGACAGGGCGCCCGCCCUCCCCCCUUGGGCGAUCGCCCUGGCUCAGCAGCCAAUCAGGUUGAGUCUCGUGGAUCAUGCUCCACCGACCUAGAGGAUUAAGGAAAACCGUGUGAUUAAGGUCGGUUUGAUCCGACGGCCCAUAUUUAUUUGGAAGGACUAUAUAAGCAGGCCCCUUGGCCCCUAGAGAAGAGGACCUAUGAAACCCUAAUUCAUUCAUUCAUCUCAGGAGAAGAAGUCUCUGAUCAAGCCCUAGAGCCACCACAUCAACUAGAUCUCUAGUUUAGCAUAGCUACAUAGGAUUAGAACUAGAAGGAGUCAAUCUUCGAUUGGUUUCCGGAUCUGUCAAGAGGAUUCUUUGUAAUUCCUCUGUUGUUCUUCAUUUGUUCAUCAUUGUUCUUCAAUAUUAUGAAUAUGACUUUGUUCUACUUCAAUAUAUUGAUUAUGACUUUGCUCUACUUGUUUAUAUUUGCAAUUAUAUCGUUCUUAGUUUAUCAUAGUUAUAUGCUUGGCUUAGUUAGAUUGGAAUUAUAUACAUGUUUAGGAUCAUAUAGCGUUUAUCCAUGUGUACAAUAGGUAAAUGAUAAGUAUUAUGUAGGCGUGGUGCCUAUACCGUAUUUAUCUGUGAUUGUACCAUAUAUGCCGGAUCGUGGGGUAGUUCGUGGUGGUGAUAGCUCCAUUGAUUCUUAUAUAGUCCCCCUCCCGUGUAUAGGGCAGGCAGAGUAACAUUAUUACAGGGGAGUGAUUGCUAUGUUUCUCAUCUUCCUUGAUAAUAUCACUAUGCAUGGGUGUAGUCCUGUCUCGCAAUGAUUGCCAAGUAUAAUUGCACUAACUAUGAUAUGCUAGACUUUAUAGUUAAGAAUAACUUAGGAAAUAUUCUUGUAGUUCAUCCUAAUUCCAUGCUAAUGACUUGCUAGAAUAUCUGUUGAGGUGCUUAUCAUUAUUAUAUGUGGCUAGUUAUGCUAAUCAGAUUAAUUAUCUUUGUCACCAUUCAUACUUUAUCUAUAUUUUAUGUGACAUUUAUCCCUGUAUGAAAGAGAUAGAUAAAUGCUCUCUAUUACACAUGCAAUGAUAGAUACUCAAUUCCAUAUUUCAUUCCAUAAUCAACAUUGAUGAUUAGCAAUCCCUUCCUUGUGGUAAAAAUAUAAAUAACGAUACCUGGAAUACUUCCCAGUUAAAAUGCUACAUCGGUAUUAAUCUGUGCGCUUGCAAAUCUCAUUUAUUAUUCAUUCAGAAGAGCAAUUGCAUAUUUCAAUACCGUAUCUCUCAUGUCAUGCUGGGGAUGACAACUUGGCUUAAGUGGCAUGAGGGAUAGGUUCGGCAUUUUUGACGCCGUUAUCACAAAUAGAAAACUAAGUCUACUUUUGGUAAUGACGUUAAGAAUGCCCAACUGUUACUGAUUCCAUCCUUGAUUCUGAUUCCACUGAUUCUAAGGAUGAUAAUUGUUAUUGUUGAGGUAGUUCACAUCCUCUUGAAUUACUUGGAAAUUAUUGCCAGUAUGUCCAACAUCUCCACUCUUCACAUGUCAUGUGGGAUUCAUGAAUGAGCAUGACCUCCUUCUUCUCUCUAGCUUGCUCAUCAAGCCUCUUUAUCAAUAAGUCCAUCUUGGUAGAUAUCAUGUCUACCUCCCUGACUUGAUGUAUUCCAUCUCUCCUACAUGUUUGAAUCCUGUCUUCAUUCCAACCUUGAUUGGAUGCCAUCUUCUCUAUGAUAGUGGUUGCUUCCUCUAUAGCGAGUGAUAAGAAUGAACCUCUAGCUACAGGAUCAAUGAUCUCACGGGUGCUAUUCGUCAGCCUAUGGUAGAAUGUUUGCAUAAGUAGCCAACUCUCCAUCCCAUGGUGAGGACUGUGUGAUAUGUAAUCUUGGAAGCAUUCCCAUGCCUCCGGGAUGGAUUCAUCAUGUUGUUGCUGAAAACUCAAAAUCUUCGCACGUGAGGCAUUUGUCUUGCCUACUAGAAAAAUCAUGGCCAGGAAGGUGGUAGAGCAGAUGUCCCAUGUUGUGUUCUUGUAUUUAUUGGAGUAGAAUCACUACUUAGCCCCUCCUACAAGUGAAAAUGGGAAUAAUCUCUCUCAAUGGUGAAGGUGCUGCAAAUUUCUUGAAAAUAUUGCAGAUGUGCACUAGCAUCUUCAUAAGAUUUUCCACUGAACUGGUUGCCAUGCACCAUGUUGUUGAGGCCUGACUUGAGUUCAAAACCAUAUUCACCCACAUCCAUGACUGGUCCAAUUCGGAUGUUGGCGGUAGUUGGAGCAGAAUAUUCACAUAGCGUCUUAUUGUCCAUGGCGUCAAAAACUAGUGUCAAUCUCAUCUUUAGGUUGUUGUUCUCUGAAGUCACCUUGGGCACUCUCUUAAGUUUUGCUCUUGUGUUCUUGAGUAAUGCCUCAAGAUUUGAGUUGAAGGUUUCUAGGAGAUCAAAACCUCGCAUAUAUUACCCUGCAAAUAAGAUAUAAACAAUAGACAAAGCAAGGGUAAGCCUUUUAGAGUUAUAUGGGUGUUCUCGAUCACAUCGGUGUGGUACAAGUGACUCUAAUACUCUAUCUAAUAAUUUUAUUAGGUGAUACCUAUAUUUAUUUCUAAUAGACUUUCUACCUUUCCUGACAACGGCGCCAAAAAUGCUUUUUGACAUUUCUUAACAUCAAUACUAAGAAUCUAUCCUAGCAACAACAUCGAGAAAUCUUAAUCGUAUUUAUUAAUGUACCACUUGGAUUGAACUUAGUCACUUACUGACUACCUACACCUCCAGCUAGCAACUUUGUUCUCAUCCCUAGUAAUAGAGCUAAGAUGUUCUAAGGAUUUAUUAUAACUAUUAUUUCAUGUGACUAGAGUAAUAUAAAGAUAAAGAGAAAUGUAUCUGCAAGCGGACAAAUUAAUUAUACCAUUGUAGCAUUUUACCUAGAGUAUUACUAGGUUGUCGAUUUAUAUUAAUACCACUAGGAAGGGAUGGCUAAGAAAUAUGGUUAACACCUCAUGCCUAUCACUUGCACACUUGAUGGAGACUUAAUCAUAUACUCAAUAAUAGGGGUGUCACAAAUCAUAAAUAAUAUAUGAUAAAUGAUAAAUAUCCAAUACAUAAAUAAUAAUAAUUGCAUCCUAGAGCACUCCAAUCUAAAGCACAUAGUGUCUCAUUAGGUAAAGCUGAGAGGAAUAGAGUCCUAAGUUAUUCUAACUAUAAGUCUGUGAAUACUAUGAUUAGUGCAAUUACACCUAGCAAUUAUUGUUAAGACCAAUAUUAUAUCUAUGCAUAAGGAACAUUACUCUAGGGAGGUCUAGGAUCAUAAUAAGACAACCCUAGGCAACCACGUUCUACUAGUCCUACAUAAAUGGAGUGGACUACAUAGGACUCAACGGGAUUAUUGUCACACCCGUGAUCUACCACAUGGCCCUGCAUAUAGGGUGCAUUUGCAAGUAAAUACCAUCUAGACACCAUGUCUAUAUGGCACCCACCACCCAUCCAAUGAUCAUCUAGAUGAGCGUUAUAUGAACAUAUACAUAAAGAUAAUACUAAUCCAACUAUACUAAGCAUAUAACCAAAGUAGGCAAAGAACAAUAUAAUUGAGAAUAUAAUCAAGUAGAGCAAAGUCAUAACUAUAGUCUAAACAAAAGUAUAUAUAUGUAAAGUAAUAAAAGAGAGAGAUUACAAGGUAUUACCAAGCAACACUCCCGACAAAUCCGGAAUCCAUCGAAAGUGCCUCCUCUCUACUACUAACCUAUGUAGUUAGGCUCUAGAUUUGGUGGAGCUCUAAGAAGACUAGGGUUUCUAGCUCUGCUAACUUGAAUCAAAUGACUUGGACAUCUGUUCUCUUUGGGGAGGGGCUCUAAUUAUAUAGGCCAGUGGAGUGAACCAUAGCCCUUGGAUCAAACCGACUUGAAUGGAUGGAGGAGAUCAAUCCUUAGAUGUAACACCAUAUUUUAAUUUUCAUUGAAUAGGAUUUAUUUGGAUUUAUUUAAGUAUUUUUGUGAGCAUUUAAAUUAGCAUAUAAAUAUUUUUUUGUUGCAAUUAAAAUCCAUUAUAAGUUUAGCAACAUGUUGUGCAUACAUGCUGGUGCAUAAUUGUUUUUCAGUGUGGAGUGUUUGUUUGAAUUUAAAACAGAUUUCCAAAGAAUUUGUAAACAGGUUUGUAGAAUAAAAAGAUGUCCCCUGCUCAGUUUUGGCCCAGCCCCACAGCCAACUGUCUUCCUCUGAGCGUGUGGCCCGCUGCCCCGGCCCAGCGUGCAGCCAGCAGCACAGCCAAACGCCGCACUCUUUUCCACCACGCAGGCCUGCUCUUGGCCAGUCUCCCUCGGCCCAAGCCGCGCUGCAGCUCCCUCCUCCCUUCUCUCGCUGGCACGCCAGGCCUGCAUGGCAAUUCCCUAGUCUUCUUCUUCUUCGUGCGUGGCCGAGUGGGACUCUCCUAGAGAGCAAUCCGAUCCCGAUGACUACCGACACCUAUAAAAGCUUAAAGCUGCCCCACAUCCUUCCUUUUCCAUCUAUCACACCUAGGAGCCGCCCUAGCUGUUUUUCGCCAUGUUUUGGAUCUUGCCAAGCUUUAGCUCAAACCACCACCGCAGCAAGCCUCUUCUACGCCUUCUCUGCGCGAGUAAAACAUGUAGGUGAGUUCGUCUCACUCUUCCCGUUCUCCCGAUGGUUCUCUCUUGCUCUCUAGUGCUCGGAAUCACAAAAUAGGUAAACUCCGGUUAGUUCCACGGCAGCGGCAAUGGAGGUCCACCGCGCCUGGCACGCCGCCGGCCGACCUGCCCCUUGGAAGGGUUUUCAGCCGUUCAAAUUGAGAUCAAACGCCAGGAUUAGAAGAUACCCCUUUGGGGUAUAAUUUAUUAAAGAGACCCUAAAUUUUAUUGAAUUAUGACCUGUAGUCCAUUGCACAUUUGCUAAAAUACGCUUUUUCAAAAUCUAAAACAUAUUCUUCGCCGGUUUAAUUCAAAUACGUUUUCCUAUAUUUACAUAAAUGCCACUGAAAUUGUUUUGCUUAUAAAAUGCUCAUUUUAACUUUGAUUUGACCCGUUCAAAUUGUGUUAGAUUCGUAUUCAUGAGAUCUACAUGUUAGUAACACUAUUUCAUCUUUUUUCUCGAAAAAAGUAACACUAUUUCAUCAGUAUGUAACUUAAUUUUGUGGUCCUAUUUAAUUAAUUACUUUUUUAUAGAAAAUCAUAGAUAAAUCAUAACUUCUCUGUUCUAAUUCUGAUUUUUGUGAUCUCUAGACAGGCAACAGGAGCAAAUGUUUCCUCAUAGUAUAUACCCUCUUUCUAACAUAAAUCCUAAGCUACCAACCUAGCCUUGUUCGUCACUACCACCGCAUCUUCACUCUGUUUGUUCUUGAAAACCCACUUGAUACCUAUGGGUUGGCAAUCUAGUGGAGGUGGUUCUAAAACCCAAACCUUGUUCCUCUCAAAGUUCUCUAUCUCGUCAUGCAUAGCAUUGACCCAAACGGAAUUAGAUAGAGCAUGCCCAACAUCUCGAGGCUCAAAAGAAGAAACAAAAGCAUAAUGAGCGAAGUGUGAGAUGUGAUAUGACCUGGACCGCGUGACUCACUAGUCGAUUUCACCAAUCAUGGUCUGAGGUGGAUGAUGAAAGGACCUUGUUUGGUUUUGGUAAUUGAGUGACAACUUAGAUGGACUAAUAGUGUUUAUAUGAGAUACACAGGAGAUUAGUCCACAUGCGAUUAUGUGAUGAUGGAGGAGCUCAUUGCAUAUGAGACAUGACAUGGAGUCAUGUGACCAAGGUGGAGAAGAUCAAGAUGAGGCUUGGCUCGAUGGACCAGUUGCAAGAGUGAAGGGCAAGUCAGAGGCUUUGAAGUGAGGGACUGCAUGUGACGAUGAAGCUUGAGCAAGACUUGCCACCAAUGGAGCAAGGCAAUGGUGAAGAGCAAGUAAGGUCAAGAUCGACGAACCAAUACGGUCACAUGAUGAUAUGAAUGGAUCAUAUCAUUUGGUGAUUGGUUGGUGCAUGUGUUGCGUCAACAUCGGAGGAGAUGGAAUGGAAUGCGCAAGGCAAAGGUAUAACCUAGGGCAUUUCCAUUUGACCGGUCAUAGGUGUAUAGAGAAGUUUAUGACCAGAUUUAGGAUAGAUGGCCAUACUAUCAAGAGGGGCAAACUUGUUUGCAUAUCGGUCAUCUAGUGCCACUUGAGCGAUCUAACUUUGCAUACGUCACUACAAGAAACCUGAGCUUCUAUGACAAUCAGAAUAUGACGAUCAGAGCCUGUUUCCUGUCACAGUCUGUUUACAAUGACAAACUUACUGUCGUCACAGAAGGUGGGUCACUAACCAGCUUCUAUGACCAUCAGAUGACUUCGUCAUUGAUACAGUGACAAUAAUUCUCCCGUCAUUGAUACAAUGACGAACUAAACUCGUCACAAUAUAUUGAACAAAAUAGCACUACAUGUACAAUGACAUAACACAUAUGACAUAACAAAUGACAUGGCAAUUAACAUUGGCCCAUAUAACAUGGGGCCUUUUUCAUUAUCAUGCUCAUUUACAAUUAGCCUAAUUGGACCAAAGGUUUUUGGAACAACUCCCAACAAUACGAUCGAGGCCGAUAUUGUGGGUCAGUAUAUAAAACAGAAUAUUUU